rnacentral:lncRNA from 1 species
GUUGUAACACCCUCGAUGCGACUAUAUCUCCCACGUGUCGAGGCACGACUUAGAGGCAUAAUCGCAUUGAAGGCAAUGUCGCAAGUGAGGUAAUCUUCACACAACCCAUGUAAUAUAAUAGGGGAAAAAGUUACAUAGUUGGCUUACACUCGCCACUUCACACAAUUACAUGAAUAAAACAUUACAUCAACCAAGUACAAUCAGGGCCCGACUACGGAGCCAAAAUAAAAGAAGAACCCCAAAUGCGACAAAGAUCCCCGAUCGACCCCAACUGGGCUCCACUACUGAUCAACUAGAACGAAACAACACAAAUGAACAAGGUCUUCAUCGAGCUCCUCCCGAGCUUGGUUGCGUCAUCUGGACGGUCUCAUCGGCACCUGCAAACUGGUUUUGGAAGUAUCUGUGAGCCACAGGGACUCAGCAAUCUCGCACCCUCGCGAUCAAGACUAUUUAAGCUUAUGGGUAAGGUGAAGGUAUGAGGUGGAGCUGCAGCAAGCGACUAACAUAUAUGGUGGCUAACCUAUUCGCAAAAGAGAGCGAGAAGAGAAGGCAAAGCACGGUCGAUAAAAGUAUGAUCAAGAAGUGAUCCUGGACUACCUACGCCAAGCAUAACUCCAACAACCGUGUUCACUUCCCGGACUCCGCCGGAAAGAGACCAUCACGGUUACACACGCUGUUGAUUCAUUUUAAUUAAGGUCAACUUUAGGUUUUCUACAACCGGACGUUAACAAAUUCCCAUCUGCCCAUAACCACGGGCACGGCUUUCGAAAGAUCAAAUCCAUGCAGGGUGUCCCAACUUAGCCCAUGACAAGCUCUCACGGUCAACGAAGGAAUAGACCUCCACCCGAGAUAUUCCGAUCAAACUCGGUAUCCCAGUACAACAAGACAUUUCGACAGGGUAAAACUAAACCAGCAACACCGCCCGAUGCGCCGACAUCCUGAUAGGAGCUGCACAUAUCUCGUUCUCAGGGCAACACCGGAUGAACACUACGUACAGCUAAAACCAGCCCUCAAGUUUCCCCGAGGUGGCGCCGCAAGUGGCUCUAGUUUGGACCAACGCUUAGACAAGCACUGGCCCGGGGGGUUAAAAUAAAGAUGACCCUCGGGAUGCGCGACUCCCAAGGGAAAAAGGCUAGGUGGCAAAUGGUAAAACCAAUGUUGGGCAUUGCUGGCAAAGCUUUACUUAAGGCGAAGUGUCAAGGGGUUCCCAUUAUAGCCCAACCGCGUAAGGGACGCAAAAUCCGGGAACAUAACACCGAUAAGACGGAAACUAGGGCGGCAAGAGUGGAACAAAACACCAGGCAUAAGGCCGAGCCUUCCACCCUUUACCAAGUAUAUAGAUGCAUUAAUUAAAUACGAUAUAUAGUGAUAUCCCAACAAGUAAAACAUGUUCCAACAAGGAACAACAUCUCCAUGUUCCAACAAGGAACAAUCUUCAAACUUCACCUGCAACUAACAACGCUAUAAGAGGGGCGGAGCAAAGCGGUAACAUAGCCAAUCAACGGUUUGCUAGGACAUGGUGGGUUAGGGGCUGAACAUGGCAAUUUGGGAGGCUGACAAGCAAGUGGUAGGCAUCGUAGCAAUGGCAUAGCAAAAGAGCGAGCAAACUAGCAUAGCAAAGAUAGUAGUGAUUUCGAGGGUAUGAUCAUCUUGCCUGAAAUCUCGCAAGGAAGAAGAACGAGUCCAUGAAGAAGACAAACGGACGAAGAUGAACGGGUCCUCACAAACUCGACGUUAUCGGAAUCAACCCGAAGAAGCAAUCACCGGAAAAGAAGCACACAACAUAGUAAACAACCAACACAUCAACAUGGCAUGAUGCACAAACGAGUAUGAUGCAUGUCCGGUUUAAAGAGGCAUGGCAUGGCAAAAUGCACAAGCAAUCCUACAAAUUAAGUGGAGCUCAAUAUGCAACGAGUUGCAUAUUGACGAAACACCACAUCAAUUAUUUAGUUCUCUCUCGUUUAUGUACCCAACAAUAUUAAAUGUUGAUUAACAUGGCAAGAGGUGAAACAUGAUGAAACUAUCUAAUCUAGGCAUGUUUAAAUGAGCCGGAACAACAAAACAACAAGUCCGGAAAAUCCCCAUGUGCAAAUAUUAGGUUUGGUCCUGAUCUGUCCUAAACACAAUUUUAGAGUUGUUUAACAUGCAAAGUAAGGUCACCAUGAUAAACUAGGCAAAAUUCUACCCCAUUUACAUAUAAAGUUUAUUAAAUUCCGAGUUACGGUUAUUAAGUUAUGAAUAAAAUCAUUUUAGCAUGACAUAGAGCAAAAUUAAUGCAAACAACAUUUUAGACAUUUUAACAUGGCAAGAAAGUGGCAUAUUAUUAAUCUACACAAAAUUCUGAGCAAGUUUCAUUUAUAAAGCAUUUUAAUCCGAUGCACGGUUAAUUAGUUAUUAAAUGCAUGAAGACUAGGGGCUUUUCUGUAAAUCUGCAAAUCCCUGUAAAUAGAUAAAUCGCUGAACAGGAAAAAAAAACGAGUCAUGGGAUGAUUCUGAAACAGGGCAGGCGGUGGGGGCUCUCUCACCACGGGCUUCGGCCCGGUAGCAGGAGGAGGAGGCAGGCCGGCGAUGCUGGGUCUCGGAUCUGGUUGGCGGCCCAGCAGAGAGGAGGGACUGGCGCUGGGCCUGGUGGAGCUGGGCCGGAUCGGGCGAAGGGGAGGCGGCCCGCGCGAGAGGGAUCUCGUCCCCGACCUCCCGCCGAGGCCGAGGCGAGCCAUGGUGGCGGCGGCAGGGUCCGGUGGUGGCCUGAGGCGGCGGGGCGAGGCGACACCGGCAGGAAUGGACAGAUCGGGAACUAGGGAAGCUGGAUCCGGUGUCGAGGGUGGUCGACGGCGCUCGGGGAUGCGGGAUCCGGCAGGGCGGAGCUCUCAUGGCGGCGCAAGUCGACGGGGCUUGGCAGGGAGCAAGGUGGUGCGGCCGGGAGGCCAGCGCGGAAGGAGGCGGUGCCUCUCCAGCGAAGUCCGGUAGGGGAGGCGGCGAUGCGGGCUCUGGAUCGGGGCUCCUCCCGAUCUGGAGCUCGGGGAGCAGGGGUGGCGCGAUGCGGCCUCAGGGCCCAGAUCGGGGCCCGGGCGGCCUGGAGCGGGCCUGGCGGCGCGGGGCGAUGGGAGGAGGCGGUGGGGCGACGUGGCAGCGCCCGGUUGGGCAGGGCGACGCCUCAGGUGGCGGCUGGCCUCUUGGCAGCGCCCCAAGUGGCGACGGGGAGGUGGCUGCGCGCGGAAAUCAAGGAGAAGGAGGUGGGAGGCGGCUGGGAAAUGAUUGGGGCACUGAGAUUUAGGAGGAGGGGUAGGUAGCUGCCCAAAAUGGAAGGGGGAAGGUUUAUAUAGGGCAGGUUUUAGGGUUAGGGGGGUUUCGCUCCGUUUCUGGAUCCUCCGAUCGCAAACGAACGGCCCCGGUCAAAGGGGAAAACUAGAUGGGGUUUGUGGGCUGUGUAGGAGGGUUAGGCUGGGAGGAGAGGGGAGAGAUGCAGCCCGGCACAGUUUCCGGAGACCGAAAACCUGCGACGAAAAGACCGGCUACUAUUGCCGCUAUAUUUAAUCAUUGGGGCAUCAAACGAACUCCGAUUGCGAUGAAACUUGACAGGAGGUCUAUCUACACUAUAAUAAGACCACACGUCAAAUCUCAUCCCAUUCCGAGAACAUUUUCUGGCCACUUAUAAAAUACUAUCUCGGACAUGCCGCGGGCGCGUGCAAGUGUGUCUCGUCUCAGAAUGGACAACGGAGAGAACGAGGAGGCCGGGACGGAUGCAAGUUUUGAAAACAUGAUGACGCAAUGCACAUGAUGACAUGAUGAAAUGCAACACGCAAGCAAAUGACAUGGCAACGACGGCGAAUAACUGCACGACACCUGGCACAUCGGUCUCGGGGCGUUACACUAGUGAUCUUGUCAACCAUCAACACUUGAUGUUUUUCUUGAUUUCUACCUUCGUUUAUUUCAGCAUCACGAAGAGCUUGGGAGUUGUUUCCGCUAUCCCUUGCUUAUUAUAGUUCAUCACGAAGUUCUACUAACUUGGUGAUGGUGACUAGAGAAUUCUGUCAAUCACUAUCUUAUCUGGAAGAUUGACUCCCACUUGAUUCAAGCGAUUGUAGUACCCAGACAAUCUGAGCACAUGCUCACUAGUUGAGCGAUUCUCCUCCAUCUUUUAGCUAUAGAACUUGUUGGAGAUUUCAUAUCUCUCAACUCGGGUAUUUUCUUGAAAUAUUAACUUCAACUCCUGGAACAUCUCAUAUGGUCCAUGACGUUCAAAACGUCUUUAAAGUCCCGAUUCUAAGCCACUAAGCAUGAUGCACUAAACUAUCAAGUAGUCAUUUUUGGGGAACGUAGUAAUUUCAAAAAAUUUCCUACGCACACGCAAGAUCAUGGUGAUGCAUAGCAACGAGAGGGGAGAGUGUUGUCUACGUACCAACGCAGACCGACUGCGGAAGCGAUCACACAACGUAGAGGAAGUAGUCGUACGUCUUCUUUCCGAUCCGACCGAUCCAAGCACCGUUACUCCGGCACCUCCGAGUUCUUAGCACACGUACAGCUCGAUGACGAUCCCCGGGCUCCGAUCCAGCAAAGCUUCGGGGAGGAGUUCCGUCAGCACGACGGCGUGGUGACGAUCUUGAUGUUCUGCCGACGCAGGGCUUCGCCUAAGCACUACAACGGUAUGACCGAGGUGGAAUAUGGUGGCAGGGGCACUGCACACGGCUAAGGGACGAUCUCAAGGAUCAACUUGUGUGUCUAUGGGGUGCCCCUUGCCUCAGUAUAUAAAGGAUGGAGGAGGAGGAGGCCGGCCAAGGCAUAAGGUGCGGCCAGGAUGGGAGUCCUACUAGGACUCCAAGUCCUAGUAGGAGUCCAUCAAGAGGGGAGGAAGGGAGAAGGAAGUGGAGGAGUAGGAAAGGUGGCCGGCCCCCUUUUCCCUAGUCCAAUUCGGACUAGAGGGGAGGGGGGGCGCAGCAGGCCUUUUCUCCUCUUCCCACUAAAGCCCAUCAAGGCCCAAUACUUCUCCCAGCGAAUUCCCGUCACUCUCCGGUACUCCGAAAAAUACCCGAAUCACUCGGAACCUUUCCGAAGUCCGAAUAUAGUCGUCCAAUAUAUCGAUCUUUACGUCUCGACCAUUUCGAGACUCCUCGUCAUGUCCCCGAUCUCAUCCGGGACUCUGAACUCCUUCGGUACAUCAAAACUCAUAAACUCAUAAUAUAACUGUCAUCGAAACCUUAAGCGUGCGGACCCUACGGUUCGAGAACAAUGUAGACAUGACCGAGACACGUCUCCGGUCAAUAACCAAUAGCGGGACCUGGAUGCCCAUAUUGGCUCCUACAUAUUCUACGAAGAUCUUUAUCGGUCAAACCGCAUAACAACAUACGUUGUUCCCUUUGUCAUCGGUAUGUUACUUGCCCGAGAUUCGAUCGUCGGUAUCCAAUACCUAGUUCAAUCUCGUUACCGGCAAGUCUCUUUACUCAUUCCGUAAUACAUUAUCUCGCAACUAACUCAUUAAUUGCAAUGCUUGCAAGGCUUAUGUGAUGUGCAUUACCGAGAGGGCCCAGAGAUACCUCUCCGACAAUCGAAGUGACAAAUCCUAAUCUCGAAAUACGCCAACCCAACAUCGACCUUUGGAGACACCUGUAAUGCUCCUUUAUAAUCACCCAGUUACGUUGUGACGUUUGGUAGCACCCAAAGUGUUCCUCCGGCAAACGGGAGUUGCAUAAUCUCAUAGUCAUAGGAACAUGUAUAAGUCAUGAAGAAAGCAAUAGCAACAUACUAAACGAUCGUGUGCUAAGCUAAUGGAAUGGGUAAUGUCAAUCAGUUCAUUCAACUAAUGAUGUGAUCUCGUUAAUCAAAUAACAACUCUUUUGUCCAUGGUUAGGAAACAUAAUCAUCUUUGAUUAACGAGCUAGUCAAGUAGAGGCAUACUAGUGACACUCUGUUUGUCUAUGUAUUCACACAUGUAUUAUGUUUCCGGUUAAUACAAUUCUAGCAUGAAUAAUAGACAUUUAUCAUGAUAUAAGGAAAUAAAUAAUAACUUUAUUAUUGCCUCUAGGGCAUAUUUCCUUCAGUCUCCCACUUGCACUAGAGUCAAUAAUCUAGAUCACAUCACCAUGUGAUUAACAUCGAUAGUUCACAUCAUCAUGUGAUUAACACCCAUAGUUCACAUCGUCAUGUGACCAACACUCAAAGGGUUUACUAGAGUCAGUAAUCUAGUUCACAUCUCUAUGUGAUUAACACCCAAAGAGUACUAAGGUGUGAUCAUGUUUUGCUUGUGAGAUAAUUUUAGUCAACGGGUCUGUCACAUUCAGAUUCGUAAGUAUUUUGCAAGUUCUAUGUCUACAAUGCUCUACAUGGAGCUACUCUAGCUAAUUGCUCCCACUUUCAAUAUGUAUCCAGAUUGAGACUUAGAAUCAUCUGGAUCAGUGUCAAAAACUUGCAUCGACGUAACCCUUUACGAUGAACCUUUUUGUCACGUCCAUAAUCGAGAAACAUAUCCUUAUUUCACUAAGGAUAAUUCUGACCGCUGUCUAGUGAUCUACUCCUAGAUCACUAUUGUACUCCCUUGCCAAAUCAGUGCAGGGUAUACAAUAGAUCUGGUAUACAGCAUGACAUACUUUAUAGAACCUAUGGCCAAGGCAUAGGGAAUGACUUUCAUUCUCUUUCUAUCUUCUGCCGUGGUCGGGCUUUGAGUCUUACUCAACUUCACACCUUAUAAUACAGGCAAGAACUCUUUCUUUGACUGCUCCAUUUUGAACUACUUCAAAAUCUUGUCAAGGUAUGUACUCAUUGAAAAUACUUAUCUAGCGUCUUGAUCUAUCUCUAUAGAUCUUGAAGCUCAAUAUGUAAGCAGCUUCACCGAAGUCUUUCUUUGAAAAACUCCUUUCAAACACUCCUUUAUGCUUUACAGAAUAAUUCUACAUUAUUUCCGAUCAACAAUAUGUCAUUCACAUAUACUUAUCAGAAAUGUUGUAGUGCUCCCACUCAGUUUCUUGUAAAUACAGGCUUCACCGCAAGUCUGUAUAAAACUAUAUGCUUUGAUCAACUCAUCAAGGCGUAUAUUCCAACUCCGAGAUGCUUGCACCAGUCCACAGAUGGAUCGCUGGAGCUUGCACAUUUUGUUAGCACCUUUCGGAUUGACAAAACCUUCUGUUGCAUCAUAUACAACUCUUCUUUAAUAAAUCCAUUAAGGAAUGCAGUUUUGUUUAUCCAUUUGCCAGAUUUCAUAAAAUGCGGCAAGUACUAACAUGAUUCGGACAGACUCAAGCAUAGAUACGAGUGAGAAGCUCUCGUCGUAGUCAACACCUUGAACUUGUCGAAAACCUUUUGCGACAAUUCUAGCUUUGUAGAUAGUAACACUACUAUCAACGUCCGUCUUCCUCUUGAAGAUCCAUUUAUUCUCAAUUGCUUGCCGUUCAUCGGGCAAGUCAACCAAAGUCCAAACUUUGUUCUCAUACAUGGAUCAUAUCUCAGAUUUCAUGGCCUCAAACCAUUUCGCGGAAUCUAGGCUCAUCAUCGCUUCCUCAUAGUUCGUAGGUUCGUCAUGGUCAAGUAACAUGACCUCCAGAACAGGAUUACCGUACCACUCUGGUGCGGAUCUCACUCUGGUUUACCUACAAGAUUCGGUAGUAAUUUGAUCUGAAGUUACAUGAUCAUCAUCAUUAGCUUCCUCACUAAUUGGUGUAGUAGUCACAAGAACAGAUUUUUGUGAUGAACUACUUUCCAAUAAGGUAGAAGGUACAAUUACCUUAUCAAGUUUUCUACUUUCCUCCCACUUAGUUCUUUCAAGAGAAACUCCUUCUCUAGAAAGGAUCCAUUAUAAGCAACGAAUGUCUUGCCUUAGGAUCUGUGAUAGAAGGUGUACCCAACAGUCUCCUUUGGGUAUCCUAUGAAGACAUAUUUCUCCGAUUUGGGUUUGAGCUUAUCAGGAUGAAUUUUUUUUCUCAUAAGCAUCGCAACCCCAAACUUCAAGAAACGACAACUUUGGUUUCUUGCCAAACCAUAGUUCAUAAGGCAUCGUCUCAACGGAUAUAGAUGGUGCCCCUUUUUUUUAACGUGAAUGCAACUGUCUCUAAUGCAUGACCCCAAAAAUGAUAGUGGUAAAUCGGUAAGAUACAUCAUAGAUUGCACUAUAUCCAAUAAAGUACGGUUAUGAUGUUCGGACACACCAUUAUGCUGUGGUGUUCCAGGUGGCGUGAGUAGUGAAACUAUUUCACAUUGUUUUAACUGAAGACCAAACUCGUAACUCAAAUACUCUUUUCCACGAUCAGAUCGUAGAAACUUUAUUUUCUUGUUACGAUGAUUUUCCACUUCACUCUGAAAUUAUAUGAACUUUUCAAAUGUAUCAGACUUCUAUUUCAUUAAGUAGAUAUACCCAUAUCUGCUCAACUCAUCUGUGAAGGUCAGAAAAUAAUGAUACCCGCUGCAAGCCUUAAAUAUUCAUAGGACCACAUACAUCAGUAUGUAUGAUUUCCAACAAAUCUGUUGCUUGCUCCAUUGUUCCGGAGAACGGCGUUUUAGUCAUCUUGCCCAAAAGGCAUGGUUCGCAAGCAUCAAGUGAUUCAUAAUCAAGUGAUUCCGAAAGCCCAUCAGCAUGGAGUUUCUUCAUGCGCUUUAUACCAAUAUGACCUAAACGGCAGUGCCACAAAUAAGUUGCACUAUCAUUAUUAACUUUGCAUCUUUUGGUUUCAAUAUUAUGAAUAUGUGUAUCACUACGAUUGAGAUCCAACGAACUUGUUUCAUUGGUGUAUGACCAUCGAAGGUUUUAUUCAUGUAAACAGAACAACAAUUAUUCUCUGACUUUAAUGAAUAACCGUAUUGCAAUAAACAUGAUCAAAUCAUAUUCAUGCUCAACGCAAAAACCAAAUAACACUUAUUUAAGUUCAACACUAAUCCCGAAAGUAUAGGGGAGUGUGCGAUGAUGAUCAUAUCAAUCUUGGAACUACUUCCAACACACAUCGUCACUUCACCCUUAACUAGUCUCUGUUUAUUCUGCAACUCCUAUUUCGAGUUACUACUCUUAGCAACUGAACCAAUAUCAAAUACUGAGGGGUUGCUAUAAACACUAGUAAAGCACACAUCAAUAACAUGUAUAUCAAAUAUACUUUUGUUCACUUUGCCAUCCUUCUUAUCCGCCAAAUACUUGGGGCAGUUCCGCUUCCAGUGACCAGUCCCUUUGCAGUAGAAGCACUUAGUCUCAGGCUUAGGACCAGACUUGGGCUUCUUCACUUGAGCAGCAACUUGCUUGCCGUUCUUUUUGAAGUUCCCUUCUUCCCUUUUGCACUUUUCUUCAAACUAGUGGUCUUGUCAACCAUCAACACUUGAUGUUUUUCUUGAUUUCUACCUUCAUCGAUUUCAGCAUCACGAAGAGCUUGGGAAUCGUUUCCGUUAUCCCUUGCAUAUCAUAGUUCAUCACGAAGUUCUACUAACUUGGUGAUGGUGACUAGAGAAUUCUGUCAAUCACUAUCUUAUCUGGAAGAUUAACUCCCACUUGAUUCAAGCGAUUGUAGUACCCAGACAAUCUGAGCACAUGCUCACUAGUUGAGCGAUUCUCCUUCAUCUUUUAGCUAUAGAACUUGUUGGAGACUUCAUAUCUCUCAACUCGGGUAUUUGCUUGAAAUAUUAACUUCAACUCCUGGAACAUCUCAUAUGGUCCAUGACGUUCAAAACGUCUUUGAAGUCCCGAUUCUAAGCCAUUAAGCAUGGUGCACUAAACUAUCAAGUAGUCAUCAUAUUGAGCUAGCCAAACGUUCAUAACGUCUGCAUCUGCUCCUGCAAUAGGUUUGUCACCUAGCGGUGCAUCAAGGACAUAAUUUUUCUGUGCAGCAAUGAGGAUAAACCUCAGAUCACGGAUCCAAUCCGUAUCAUUGCUACUAACAUCUUUCAACACAAUUUUCUCUAGGAACAUAUCAAAAUAAACAUAUGAAAGCAACAACGCGAGCUGUUGAUCUUCAACAUAGAUAUGCUAAUACUACCAGGACUAAGUUCAUGAUAAAUUAAAGUUCAAUUAAUCAUAUUACUUAAGAACUCCCACUUAGAUAGACAUCCCUCUAAUCCUCUAAGUGAUCACGUGAUCCAAAUCAACUAAACCAUAACCGAUCAUCACGUGAGAUGGAGUAUUUUUCAAUGGUGAACAUCGUUAUGUUGAUCAUAUCUACUAUAUGAUUCACGCUCGACCUUUCGGUCUCUGUGUUCCGAGGCCAUAUCUGCAUAUGCUAGGCUCGUCAAGUUUAACCUGAGUAUUCUGCGUGUGCAAAACUGGCUUGCACCCGUUGUAGAUGGACGUAGAGCUUAUCACACCCGAUCAUCACGUGGUGUCUGGGCACGACGAACUUUGGCAACGGUGCAUACUUAGGGAGAACACUUCAUGAUAAUUUAGUGAGCGAUCAUCUUAUAAUGCUACCGUCAAUCAAAGCAAGAUAAGAUGCAUAAAAGGAUAAACAUCACAUGCAAUCAAUAUAAGUGAUAUGAUAUGGCCAUCAUCAUCUUGUGCUUGUGAUCUCCAUCUCCGAAGCACCGUCAUGAUCACCAUCGUCACCGACGCGACACCUUGAUCUCCAUCGUAGCAUCGUUGUCGUCUCGCCAAUCUUAUGCUUCCACGACUAUCACUACCGCUUAGUAAUAAAGUAAAGCAUUACAUCGCGAUUGCAUUGCAUACAAUAAAGCGACAACCAUAUGGCUCCUGCCAGUUGCCGAUAACUUGGUUACAAAACAUGAUCAUCUCAUACAAUAAAAUCAGCAUCAUGCCUUGACCAUAUCACAUCACAACAUGCCCUGCAAAAACAAGUUAGACAUCCUCUACUUUGUUGUUGCAAGUUUUACGUGACUGCUACGGGCUUAAGUAAGAAGUCAUCUCACCUACGCAUCAAAACCACAACGAUAGUUCGUCAAAUAGACUCCGUUUUAACCUUCUCAAGGACCGGGCGUAGCCAUACUCGGUUCAACUAAAGUUGGAGAGACAGUCGCCCGCAAGCCAUCUAUGUGCUAAGCACGUCGAGGGAAUCGGUCUCGCGUAAGCGUACGCGUAAGGUUGGUCCGGGUCGUCUCGUCCAACAAUACCGCCGAACCAAAGUAUGACAUGCUGGUAGGCAGUAUGACUUGUAUCGCCCACAACUCACUUGUGUUCUACUCGUGCAAAUAACAUCAAACCAUAAAACCUAGGCUCGGAUGCCACUGUUGGGGAACGUAGUAAUUUCAAAACAUUUCUUACGCACACGCAAGAUCAUGGUGAUGCAUAGCAACGAGAGGGGAGAUUGUUGUCUACGUACCAACGCAGACCGACUGCGGAAGCGAUCACACAACAUAGAGGAAGUAGUCGUACGUCUUCUUUCCGAUCCGACCGAUCCAAGCACCGUUACUCCGGCACCUCCGAGUUCUUAGCACACGUACAGCUCGAUGACGAUCCCCGGGCAUCGAUCCAGCAAAGCUUUGGGGAGGAGUUCCGUCAGCACGACGGCGUGGUGACGAUCUUGAUGUUCUACCGACGCAGGGCUUCGCCUAAGCACUACAACGGUAUGACCGAGGUGGAAUAUGGUGGCAGGGGCAUCGCACACGGCUAAGGGACGAUCUCAAGGAUCAACUUGUGUGUCUAUGGGGUGCCCCUUGCCUCAGUAUAUAAAGGAUGGAGGAGGAGGAGGCCGGCCAAGGCAUAAGGUGCGGCCAGGAUGGGAGUCCUACUAGGACUCCAAGUCCUAGUAGGAGUCCAUCAAGAGGGGAGGAAGGGAGAAGGAAGUGGAGGAGUAGGAAAGGUGGCCGGCCCCUUUUCCCUAGUCCAAUUCGGACUAGAGGGGAGGGGGGCGCAGCAGGCCUUUUCUCCUCUUCCCACUAAAGCCCAUCAAGGCCCAAUACUUCUCCCAGCGAAUUCCCGUAACUCUCCGGUAGUCCGAAAAAUACCCGAAUCACUCGGAACCUUUCCGAAGUCCGAAUAUAGUCGUCCAAUAUAUCGAUCUUUACGUCUCGACCAUUUCGAGACUCCUCGUCAUGUCCCCGAUCUCAUCCGGGACUCCGAACUCCUUCGGUACAUCAAAACUCAUAAACUCAUAAUAUAACUGUCAUCGAAACCUUAAGCGUGCGGACCCUACGGUUCGAGAACAAUGUAGACAUGACCGAGACACGUCUCCGGUCAAUAACCAAUAGCGGGACCUGGAUGCCCAUAUUGGCUCCUACAUAUUCUACGAAGAUCUUUAUCGGUCAAACCGCAUAACAACAUACGUUGUUCCCUUUGUCAUAGGUAUGUUACUUGCCCGAGAUUCAAUCGUCGGUAUCCAAUACCUAGUUCAAUCUCGUUACCGGCAAGUCUCUUUACUCGUUCCGUAAUACAUCAUCUUGCAACUAACUCAUUAAUUGCAAUGCUUGCAAGGCUUAUGUGAUGUGCAUUACCGAGAGGGCCUAGAGAUACCUCUCCGACAAUCGGAGUGACAAAUCCUAAUCUCGAAAUACGCCAACCCAACAUCGACCUUUGGAGACACCUGUAAUGCUCCUUUAUAAUCACCCAGUUACGUUGUGACGUUUGGUAGCAGCCAAAGUGUUCCUCCGGCAAACGGGAGUUGCAUAAUCUCAUAGUCAUAGGAACAUGUAUAAGUCAUGAAGAAAGCAAUAGCAACAUACUAAACGAUCGUGUGCUAAGCUAAUGGAAUGGGUCAUGUCAAUCAGAUCAUUCAACUAAUGAUGUGAUCUCGUUAAUCAAAUAACAACUCUUUUGUCCAUGGUUAGGAAACAUAAUCAUCUUUGAUUAACGAGCUAGUCAAGUAGAGGCAUACUAGUGACACUCUGUUUGUCUAUGUAUUCACACAUGUAUUAUGUUUCCGGUUAAUACAAUUUUAGCAUGAAUAAUAAACAUUUAUCAUGAUAUAAGGAAAUAAAUAAUAACUUUAUUAUUGCCUCUAGGGCAUAUUUCCUUCAGUCAUCAUAUUGAGCUAGCCAAACGUUCAUAACGUCUACAUCUGCUCCUGCAAUAGGUCUGUCACCUAGCGGUGCAUCAAGGACAUAAUUCUUCUGUGCGGCAAUGAGGAUAAACCUCAGAUCACGGAUCCAAUCUGCAUCAUUGCUACUAACAUCUUUCAACACAAUUUCCUCUAGGAACAUAUCAAAACAAACACAGGGAAGUAACAACGCGAGCUAUCGAUCUACAACAUAAUUUGCAAAAUACUACCAGGACUAAGUUCAUGAUAAAUUUAAGUUCAAUUUAAUCAUAUUACUUUAAGAACUCCCACUUAGAUAGACAUCCCUCUAAUCCUCUAAGUGAUCACGUGAUCCAAAUUAACUAAACCAUAACCGAUCAUCACGUGAGAUGGAGUAGUUUUCAAUGGUGAACAUCGUUAUGUUGAUCAUAUCUACUAUAUGAUUCACGCUCGACCUUUCGGUCUCCGUGUUCCGAGGCCAUAUCUGUGAAGGAAAUAUGCCCUAGAGGCAAUAAUAAAGUUAUUAUUUAUUUCCUUAUAUCAUGAUAAAUGUUUAUUAUUCAUGCUAGAAUUGUAUUAACCGGAAACAUAAUACAUGUGUGAAUACAUAGACCAACAUAGUGUCACUAGUAUGCCUCUACUUGACUAGCUCGUUAAUCAAAGAUGGUUAUGUUUCCUAACCAUGAACAAAGAGUUGUUAUUUGAUUAACGAGGUCACAUCAUUAGUUGAAUGAUCUGAUUGACAUGACCCAUUCCAUUAGCUUAGCACCCGAUCGUUUAGUAUGUUGCUAUUGCUUUCUUCAUGACUUAUACAUGUUCCUAUAACUAUGAGAUUAUGCAACUCCCGUUUACCGGAGGAACACUUUGGGUACUACCAAACGUCACAACGUAACUGGGUGAUUAUAAAGGAGUACUACAGGUGUCUCCAAUGGUAGAUGUUGGGUUGGCGUAUUUCGAGAUUAGGGUUUGUCACUCCGAUUGUCGGAGAGGUAUCUCUGGGCCCUCUCGGUAAUGCACAUCACAUAAGCCUUGCAAGCACUGCAACUAAUAUGUUAGUUGUGAGAUGAUGUAUUACGGAACGAGUAAAGAGACUUGCCAGUAACGAGAUUGAACUAGGUAUUGGAUACCGACGAUCGAAUCUCGGGCAAGUAACAUACCGAUGACAAAGGGAACAACGUAUGUUGUUAUGCGGUCUGACCGAUAAAGAUCUUCGUAGAAUAUGUAGGAGCCAAUAUGGGCAUCCAGGUCCCGCUAUUGGUUAUUGACCGGAGACGUGUCUCGGUCAUGUCUACAUUGUUCUCGAACCGUAGGGUCCGCACGCUUAACGUUACGAUGACAGUUAUUAUGAGUUUAUGCAUUUUGAUGUACCGAAGGUUGUUCGGAGUCCCAGAUGAGAUCACAGACUUGACGAGGAGUCUCGAAAUGGUCGAGACGUAAAGAUUGAUAUAUUGGAAGCCUAUGUUUGGACAUAGGAAGUGUUCCGGGUGAAAUCGGGAUUUUACCGGAAUACCGGGAGGGUUACCGGAACCCCCCGGGAGACUAAUGGGCCUAUUGGGCCUUAGUGGAAAAAGAGAAAAGGGGCAACCCAUAGCUGGCCGGCGCCCCCCCUUUCCCCAAGUCCUAGUAGGACUAGGAUAAGGGGCCGGCCCCCCCUUCUCUCUCCUUUUCCCCGAGAGUCCUAAUUGGAAUAGGAUUGGAGGGGGGAGUCCUACUCCCGGUGGGAGUAGGACUCCCCCUGCGCCUCCCUCUCCCUGGCCGGCCGCCCCCCCUCCUCCAACCUUUAUAUACGGGGGCAGGGGACACCCCAAGACACACAAGUUGAUCCUUGAGAUCGUUCCUUAGCCGUGUGCGGUGCCCCCUGCCACCAAAUUCCACCUCGAUCAUACCGUUACAGUGCUUAGGCGAAGCCCUGCGUCGGUAGUACAUCAAGAUCGUCACCACGCCGUCGUGCUGACGGAACUCUUCCUCGACGCUUUGCUGGAUCGGAGCCCGAGGAACGUCAUCGAGCUGAACGUGUGCUAAGAACUCGGAGGUGCCGGAGUAACGGUGCUUGGAUCGGUCGGAUCGGAAAGAAGACGUACGACUACUUCCUCUACGUUGUGUGAUCACUUCCGCAGUCGGUCUGCGUUGGUACGUAGACAACACUCUCCCCUCUCGUUGCUGUGCAUCACCAUGAUCUUGUGUGUGCGUAGGAAAAUUUUCGAAAUUACUGCGUUCCCCAACAAUCUGCAUAUGCUAGGCUCGUCAAGUUUAACCUGAGUAUUCUGCGUGUGCAAAAACUGGCUUGCACCCGUUGUAGAUGGACGUAGAGCUUAUCACACUCUAUCAUCACGUGGUGUCUGGGCACGAUGAACUUUGGCAACGGUGCAUACUCAGGGAGAACACUUCUUGAUAAUUUAGUGAGAGAUCAUCUUAUAAUGCUACCGUCAAUCAAAGCAAGAUAAGAUGCAUAAAAAAGAUAAACAUCACAUGCAAUCAAUUCAAUAUAAGUGAUAUGAUAUGGCCAUCAUAUUCUUGUGCUUGUGAUCUCCAUCUCCGAAGCACCGUCAUGAUCACCAUCGUCACCGGCGCGACACCUUGAUCUCCAUCGUAGCAUCGUUGUCGUCUUGCCAAUCUUAUGCUUCCACGACUAUCGCUACCGCUUAGUGAUAAAGUAAAGCAUUACAUCGCGAUUGCAUUGCAUACAAUAAAACGACAACCAUAUGGCUCCUGCCAGUUGCCGAUAACUCGGUUACAAAACAUGAUCAUCUCAUACAAUAAAAUUUAGCAUCAUGUCUUGACCAUAUCACAUCACAACAUGCCCUGCAAAAACAAGUUAGACGUCCUCUACUUUGUUGUUGCAAGUUUUACGUGGCUGCUACGGGCUUAAGCAAGAACCAAUCUCAGCUACGCAUCAAAACCACAAUGAUAGUUUGUCAAAUAGACUCCGUUUUAACCUUCGCAAGGACCGGGCGUAGCCACACUUGGUUCAACUAAAGUUGGAGAAACAGUCACCCGCAAGCCACCUUUGUGCAAAGCACGUCGGGAGAACCGGUCUCGCGUAAGCGUACGCGUAAUGUCGGUCCGGGCCGCUUCAUCCAACAAUACCGCCGAACCAAAGUAUGACAUGCUGGUAGGCAGUAUGACUUAUAUCGCCCACAACUCACUUGUGUUCUACUCGUGCAUAUAACAUCAAACCAUAAAACCUAGGCUCUGAUACCACUGUUGGGGAACGUAGUAAUUUCAAAAAAUUUCCUACGCACACGCAAGAUCAUGGUGAUGCAUAGCAACGAGGGGGAGAGUCUGAUCUACGUACCCUUGUAGAUCGCAACGGAAGCGUUGACACAACGUAGAGGAAGUAGUCGUACGACUUCUUCCCGAUCCGACCGAUCCAAGCACCAUUACUCCGGCACCUCCAAGUUCUUAGCACACGUACAGCUCGAUGACGAUCCCCGGGCUCCGAUCCAGCAAAGCUCCGGGGAGGAGUUCCGUCAGCACGACGGCGUGGUGACGAUCUUAAUGUACUACCGACGCAGGGCUGCGCCUAAGCACUACAACGGUAUUAUCGAGGUGGAAUAUGGUGGCAGGGGGCACCGCACACGGUUAGGAACGAUCUCAAUGAUCAACUUGUGUGUCUAUGGGGUGCCCCCUGCCCCCGUAUAUAAAGGAGCAAGGGAGGAGGGGCGGCCGGCCUAGGAGUGGGCGCGCCAAGGGGAGUCCUACUCCCACCGGGAGUAGGACUCCUUCUUUCCUUGUCCAACUAGGAGAAGGGGGGAAUGGAGGGAAGUGGAGAAGGAAGGGAGAGGUGGGCCGCGCCCCAAAUCCCUUGUCCAAUUCAGACUAGGCUUGGGAGGGGCGCGCGCCACCUCCUGGCUCCUUCCCACUAAAGCCCAUUAAGGCCCAAUACUCUUCCCCGUAUUCCCGUAACUCCCCGGUACCUCCGAAAAUACCCGAAUCACUCGGAACCUUUCCGAUGUCUGAAUUGUAACACCCUCGAUGCGACUAUAUCUCCCACGUGUCGAGGCACGACUUAGAGGCAUAAUCGCAUUGAAGGCAAUGUCGCAAGUGAGGUAAUCUUCACACAACCCAUGUAAUACAAUAGGGGAAAAAGUUACAUAGUUGGCUUACAAUCGCCACUUCACACAAUUACAUGAAUAAAGCAUUACAUCAUUCAAAUACACUCAAGGUCCGACUACGGAACCAAAAUAAAAGAAGAACCCCAAAUGCGACAAAGGUCCCCGAUCGACCCCAACUGGGCACCACUACUGAUCAACUAGAACGAAACAACAUAAAGGACAAGAUCUUCAACGAGCUCCUCCUGAGCUUGGUUGCGUCAUCUGCACGGACUCAUCGGCACCUGCAAACUGGUUUUGGAAGUAAUCUGUGAGCCAUGGGGACUCAGCAAUCUCGCACCCUCGCGAUCAAGACUAUUUAAGCUUAUGGGUAAGGUAAAGGUAUGAGGUGGAGCUGCAGCAAGCGACUAGCAUAUAUGGUGGCUAACAUACGCAAAUGAGAGCGAGAAGAGAAGGCAAGGCACGGUCGAUAAAGUAUGAUCAAGAAGUGAUCAUGGACUACCUACGUCAAGCAUAACUCCAACAACCGUGUUCACUUCCCGGACUCCGCCGGAAAGAGACCAUCACGGUUACACACGCGGUUGAUUCAUUUUAAUUAAGGUCGACUUCAGGUUUUCUACAACCGGACGUUAACAAAUUCCCAUCUGCCCAUAACCGCGAGCACGGCUUUCGAAAGAUCAAAUCCCUGCAGGGGUGUCCCAACUUAGCCCAUUACAAGCUCUCACGGACAACGAAGGAAUAGACCUCCACCCGAGACAUUCCGAUCAGACUCGGUAUCCCAGUACAACAAGACAUUUCGACAGGGUAAAACUAAACCAGCAACACCACCCGAAUGUGCCAACAAAUCCCGAUAGGAGCUGCACAUAUCUCUUUCUCAGGGCACACCGGAUCGUCCAAACUUCCGGUAGGCCAGCCCAGAGUUGCCCCUGGUGGCCACCGGCGGCUGACAGUUUGGACCAACACUCAGAGGAGCACUGGCCCGGGGGGGGGGGGUAAAUAAUGAUGACCCUUGAGUCUGCAGUACCCAAGGGAAAGAAAAAGGCUAGGUGGCAAAUGGUAAAACCAAUGUUGGGCAUUGCUGGAGAAGCUUUACUUAAGGCGAACUUGUAACACCCUCGAUGCGACUAUAUCUCCCACGUGUCGAGGCACGAUUUUGAGGCAUAAUCGCAUUGAAGGCAUAUGUCACAAGUGAGGUAAUCUUCACACAACCCAUGUAAUAUAACAAGGGAAAGAGAUACAUAGUUGGCUUACAACCGCCACUUCACACAAUUACAUGAAUAAAGCAUUACAUCAAUCAAGUACACUCAUGGUCCGACUACGGAACCAAAAUAAAAGAAGAACCCCAAAUGCGACAACGGUCCCCGAUCGACCCCAACUGGGCUCCACUACUGAUCAACUAGCACGAAACAACACAAAGGACAAGAUCUUCAUUGAGCUCCUCCUGAGCUUGGUAGCGUCAUCUGCUCGGUCUCAUCGGCACCUGCAAGCUGGUUUUGGAAGUAUCUGUGAGCCACAGGGACUCAGCAAUCUCGCACCCUCGCGAUCAAGACUAUUUAAGCUUAUGGGUAAGGCAAAGGUAUGAGGUGGAGCUGCAGCAAGCGACUAGCAUAUAUGGUGGCUAACAUACGCAAAUGAGAGCGAGAAGAGAAGGCAAAGCACGGUCGAUAAAAGUACGAUCAAGAAGUGAUCCUGGACUACCUACGUCAAGCAUAACUCCAACAACCGUGUUCACUUCCCGGACUCCGCCGGAAAGAGACCAUCACGGUUACACACGCGGUUGAUUCAUUUUAAUUAAGGUUGACUUUAGGUUUUCUACAACCGGACGUUAACAAAUUCCCAUCUGCCCAUAACCGCGGGCACGGCUUUCGAAAGAUCAAAUCCCUGCAGGGGUGUCCCAACUUAGCCCAUAACAAGCUCUCACGGUCAACGAAGGAAUAGACCUCCACCCGAGACAUUCCGAUCAGACUCGGUAUCCCAGUACAACAAGACAUUUCGACAGGGUAAAACUAAACCAGCAACACCGCCCGAUGCGCCGACAUCCUGAUGGGAGCUGCACAUAUCUCGUUCUCAGGGAAACACCGGAUGAGACAUCCUACGAGUAAAACCAGCCCUCAAGUUUCCCCGAGGUGGCCCUGUAGUCUACUCAGUUCGGANNNNNNNNNNNNNNNNNNNNNNNNNNNNNNNNNNNNNNNNNNNNNNNNNNNNNNNNNNNNNNNNNNNNNNNNNNNNNNNNNNNNNNNNNNNNNNNNNNNNNNNNNNNNNNNNNNNNNNNNNNNNNNNNNNNNNNNNNNNNNNNNNNNNNNNNNNNNNNNNNNNNNNNNNNNNNNNNNNNNNNNNNNNNNNNNNNNNNNNNNNNNNNNNNNNNNNNNNNNNNNNNNNNNNNNNNNNNNNNNNNNAAAGAGGCUAGGUGGCGAAUGGUAAAACCAAUGUUGGGCAUUGCUGGAGAAGCUUUACUUAAGGCGAACUGUCAAGGGGUUCCCAUUAUAGCCCAACCGCGUAAGGGACGCAAAAUCCGGGAACAUAACACCGAUAUGACGGAAACUAGGGCGGCAAGAGUGGAACAAAACACCAGGCAUAAGGCCGAGCCUUCCACCCUUUACCAAGUAUAUAGAUGCAUUAAAUAAAUAAGAUAUAUAGUGAUAUCCCAACAAGUAAAAAAAUGUCCCAACAAGGAACAACAUCUCCAUGUUCCAACAAGGAACAAGCUUCAAUCUUCACCUGCAACUAACAACGCUAUAAGAGGGGCUGAGCAAAGCGGUAACAUAGCCAAUCAACGGUUUGCUAGGACAAAGGUGGGUUAGAGGCUGGACAUGGCAAUUGGGAGGCUGACAAGCAAGUGGUAGGCAUCAUAGCAAUGGCAUAGCAAAAGAGCGAGCAUCUAGCAAAGCAAAGAUAGAAGUGAUUUCGAGGGUAUGAUCAUCUUGCCUGAAAAUCCCGCAAGGAAGAAGAACGAGUCCAUGAAGAAGACAAACGGGCGAAGUCGAACGGAUCCUCACAAACUCGACGUUAUCGGAACCAACCCGAAGAAGCAAACACCGGAAAAGAGCAAACAACAUAGUAAACAACCAACACAUCAACAUGGCAUGAUGCACAAUCGAGUAUGAUGCAUGUCCGGCUUAAAGGGGGCAUGGCAUGGCAAAAUGCACAAACAAUCCUACAAAUUAAGUGGAGCUCAAUAUGCAACGAGUUGCAUAUUGACGAAACACCACAUCAACUAUUUAGUUCGAUCUCGUUAUGUACCCCAACAAUAUUAAAUGUUGAUUAACAUGGCAAGAGGUGAAGCAAAAGAAAACUACCUAUCUAGUCAAGGUUAAAUGAGGCCGGAAGCAACGAACAACAAUUCCGGUAAAUCCCCAUAGCAUAUUUUAGAUUUGGUACUGAUCUGUCCUAAACACAAUUUUAGAGUUAUUAAACAUGCAAAUAAAGGUCACCAUGAUAAACUAGGCAAAAUUCCACCCCAUUUACAUAUAAAGUUUAUUUAAUUCGGAGCUACGGUUAUUUAGUUAUGAAUAAAAUCAUGUUAGCAUGGCAUAGGAGCAAAUUAAUGCAAACAACAUUUUUAAACAUUUUUAAUUGUUGUUAUCAUGAUGCGGAUGACAUGAACAAGUUUAUGCAAAUUUUAUUAAAAGUUGAUAAGAUCAUUAUGAAGCAUUUGUCACCGUGGUGGAAAGAAGAGGGAUGCCACGGUAACGAAUCCGAAAAUGAUGCCAUGGCAACAUAUCGGUUCUGGUAACUCGAUUGAGAUCCCGGUGCAAAAGAAAAUGCGACGGGAGCGUGACACGCAAUAGGAGGUGGGGUGAUCCCGGAUACCGGGUUCCCACAAGAUGGUGGCAAGGCAAAAGAGGGGCAACGUGCACCGAACAACUCCGACACGGAGCAAACACGAGCAUUUCAUACAUCACACAUGCAUUCAUUCACGGCGGUCGUCCCGGGGUUAUACCUUCGAAGCGAGCAUACUCGGAGGGGUUCGGGUUCGUAGAGGAAGUAGGCGUUCUCGCGACGGCGGUAGUAGUUGUUCACGGGGUCGUCGUGGGAAGUAGGGGUACAUGACGACGUAAAGGUACUCGCGACGGUAGUCGUUCACGUUCACGUUACACGGGUCUUCGGCGACGAUUGUCGUACAUGGUUCGGAGUGGUACUUGCGAUGGUAGUGGUACACGUUUCGUAGAUGUUCGAGCGAUAUCGGUAGCGGUACUUGAUGAAUCCCGAAACGGACUUGGCGUCGUCGUGCGUAGGGGUACUUGGCGUUUUCGGAGAUGAUGGUAGAGGAACACGUUUCGAAGGGGUACUUGGGGUCCUCGAACUUGCCGAUCUCGAAGGGGUACUUGACGUCCAAAGCGUUCAUCAGUAGUAGAACUUGGCGGUCUUGACGGUCGUCGUGGUACUUGACGUAAUCCACGCAAACGGUGCCUGUCCAAGCAUCGAUCUUGACGAAGAUGUACUUGACGAGUUACCCGAACGCGUUAGUCCUCGGACUUGGACUCCGGAGAUGGUGUCGUGGUGGUCCUGCAACAAUAGUCUCCGCAAGGGCGUUGGGGAAGGAGAUGGUCGUGACCGAGGACGAAAACAAGGAGCAGCAGCGCGAGGAGGGCCUUGGCGGCGCUGGUCGUCGGCAUCAGGCCGCGUGUGCUCGAGGAGAGGCCGAGGGCGGCUGGAACCGACCAGAGGCGACGCCCUACGGCGCGGGGACGAGGCAGGAGGCGGCUCGGGAGCACGGCGCGGGGACGACGGCUGCAGGCGUGGGCGCGGGCGCUCCUCUCCUCGGGCUCCUGGGCGACGCGGAGAUAGGUGAGGAGGAGGCGCGGCAGGGUGGCUCCGGCCAGGGGCACGGCGCGGGGUGGUUGGCUUGAGUGAGGGGAGAGGGAGAGACCAUGGAUCGGGCGAGAGGAGAGAGGAGCGUGGGCGCGGGCGCUGGUGAUGGGGAUCGAGCGUGAGGAGCUCCUCUCCCUGGCGAAGCGAGGUGGCGACAGAAAAAAAUGGAGGGGGUCGAGGGAGAUGGGGCGCUAGAUCUGGCCUUUGGCGGCGCGAGGGGAGAGGAUGAGGGAGAGAACAAGGGGAUGAGGUCUCCUCGCGCUAGGUUACAGGAGGAGGAGGCCCGGCCUGGUGGGCUGAGAGGAAAAAAUGGGCCGGCCUCGUUGGGCUCCUUCCCUCUCUCUAAUUCUCUUUCACUUCUUUAUUUCUUGAUUUAACAAAUAAACCGAGGAAUAAGAAAUGUAGAGAGAGAUAGGAGAAGAAUUUGAGCAGGGCGCCAAUUUUCUUGGACUCAUAAAAAUGAGGUUGAUCCAAGAAAAAUACAUUUGACACCGUUUGGAAGGAUUGCAUUCGAACACAUUUGAAUGUGAUUCAAAUGAGUUUGAAUUAGGAAAAACAUUUUGGAGAGUCCAAAAAUGUUCGGAAUAUUGGUGGAGCACCGGAAAAUGGAGAAAGGAUAAAAGCAAAGUUUGGGGACCAAACUCGAAGCGAGAAAAGGCAUUGGGAUUUUAUUUUGCAAGUGUGUUCCGGUUAAUUCCAAAAGAAUGGAAUAUUUAUUAUAGCUCCCUAAUAUUGGGAGGAUAUAUUAUAAAGAGAAGUCAUCCUUCCCUCGAUUUAAAUGGAUCGAAGAUCCAUACGAUUUAUUUAGUUGAGAUGCAAAAGACUAUGACAUGAUGACAUGAUGACAUGAUGCAAUGCACAUGAUGACUUUACAUGAUGCAACACGCAAGCACAUGACAACGCAACAACAUCGAAUAACUGCACGACACCUGGCACAUCGGUCUCGGGGCGUUACAACACUCCACCUCUACGAGAGGAUCUCGUCCCGAGAUCUAGAAUGGCACCGGAGGGAAAAGGAAGAGAAAGAGAAGAGGUAAAACAAAUUGCUUCAUUGACAAACGAGUGAAACCACAACCUUGAGAGGUUGAAUACCUUCGAGACAGAAUUCAACGAAGGUGAACAAGGUCGAAAACAGCCAUUUAGAAAAGAGGAAGAAAGCACAUUGCGAAAAACCUUGAGGUUGAAGGGAAGAUAUAUAUUGAAACUACUCCGGUUAAGACAAGAUAGAGAAGGAAUAAGACUUAUAUAAUUUGGACAGCACUCCGGUUGAGAAGGGAUGCAAAAAUUGAUAAGAUGAGAAAGCUCGAAAGAAAACACGACACUCCGGUUGAAUGGAUAAGCAAAGAAAGAAUACUAUCAUGACAAACCAAGAAGAUGGGUUGAAGAGAGCAACAUCACAAGCCUCCGGAACGAAGGGAAACAAGAUCUUGAGAGAGCACGGUUACCACAAAUGCUAGAACGGAGUUGUUGGAAAACCAACAACGAAAAGAAUAAUCUUGAUAUGGUCUUAUAGAAAAAACAUCUCGAAACUAGAGGUGAUAACCUGCCACUCAUGGGAAAAGAAUUGUAUUGAUAUGAACAAGUAGACGAGAAACUAUAUCACCGGGAGGAUAUAUGAAGAACUUGGAUCAUAUACGAGCACAAUUAUCGCAACAAUCCUUAGGGAAGGAUUUAGGUGAAGUAUAACCCAAGAUAAAUCCAUGACGAGAUUGAUGGAUUUAAAAUAUCUCAUUCUUGACAACAUGUGAAUCAUGAAAAAUGAACUCAAAUUAUCAAGAAUGACACAAUACCACCUCCAAUGAUACGGAAGAAAGAAUAAUUACACUCCGGAUUACGAUAUGAAGAAUGCUUGAGCACCUCUGAAAAGAAACUUGAUGAACACUUCAAGAAGGAAUUAAAUCCUUGGUGAACCAUCAUGUAGAACCUCCAUGAAGAACUCCGUUAAACAGAAGAAUGAUCAAACGGAAAGAAAAGGGAAGUUGAAAACACAAGGUGAAACCUUGUAAUGAUUAGAUGGAACUUCGCGACGAGAUAAUGGGGAAAAGCUUGGAACUCCAGAAAAGAAAGAUGAACAAAUGAAAUCAAGAAUUUGAUGAGCCCCCGGAAUAAAGAAUUAAUCACUUGGAUGAACAAGAAUAAGAAUUACAUUAUGCUUAUCCUUCACCAAUUCAAAUUGACGACAACCAAUGGAAUUUGCAUACUACUUAUUCUCGUAGAAAGGAUUAAGAUAGAUAAUGCGCAAACUUGAAGAGGCCUUCAAUGAUCCACCGGUAGGAUUUGAAAGAACGGAAGUAUGAUAACGUAAGAAGAGGAAACUUGAACAAACCACCGUAAGAGUUAAAAUGAACGAAGAAAAGAUAAAGAAACACCGGGAAGAAUUAUAAAAUGAACAGAGAUUGAGAGGAUUUAGAAACAUGAGAACGAAGAGAUCACGAGUCGACUAAAGAUCACUAGAACAAAGGACGGUGAAAAUAGGAGAAUGAUAACUGACAGCUGAGAAUGAAUAAUCCUGAAUUGAUGGACUCCGGAUAACAAAUUGAGAAGACUCUUGCAUUGCUCCGGAUGGGUAAAAGAAUUCUCACGAUCAAAACAAUUAUGAGAGGAUUGCAACAAUCUCGAAUGACAAAACUUGAAGAGAAUGGAGCAAGGUUGAAAGAAGAAUCGUCUUCGGUCUUCCAAACUGAGAAUGACGAUGAGAAAUACCAUCAAGACUUAUUUAGAUACUCCGGAAGAAUCAAAACGAAGAGGUUGAGCCAACGGUGAAAAGAAUUUAACCGAUCUUGGAGAAAGACAUAUGACUGAUGAUAAUUCAUUCUUACGUCAAACUUCAAAAGGGAUUUAGUAUAACUCCGGUGGAAUAAAAAGAGUCAGGUAAGAUCCUGGGAAAGGACCUAUGGGUUAGGGCCCACUCAAAAGAAACACCGUUGAAUGAUUUAAAAGGAGAGAUUGCACUGGUUGAAUAAUAAAAAAAAGGCUUGAAUGAGAUAAGAACCUCGAAAGAGCUUGAACGAAAGUAGAGUGGAAACACGAAUCUUCUGAGAUAUCUUCAGCACUCCGGAACAAAUGAAUAGCGAGAAGUGAAUUAUUAUGAGGAGCACCGGUAUGAGAAAGCAUUGACAUGAGAAAAGGGUAUGAUCAACAAAGCUUGACUUGGAUCCACCGGAGAAGAAAAGAACAAGGAAUGAUAAACUUGAAGCUCCGUUAGAAUAUUCAUGAGAAUCACCGGAUAAGAAUAUUGAUAGAAAAAGAAUCGAGAGACUUGACAUCAAUAAGAAGGAUACUUGAAAAGACAUCUGAGUCCUUGAAGAAAACAAGGGUGGGAGGGUGGGAAAAAAACAAAGGCAACUUGGAGACGGAUGAAACAAACACCGUUGAUAAGAACUAAUAAUUGAUCUUGCGGAAGUUGAAAUGUUCGGAUCCACUAGAAGAGAAGCACACCGGUUAAAAGGAUUGACAAAAACAAUCUUGAUGAACAAGAAGGAUUAGUAUUCACAUCGGAGUAUGAGAACACCAUUUGGGGAAGGUAUGGAAUCAACACUUGACAUUGAAGCAACUCGAAUACCACAACUCAAAACAAAACAAAGGGUUGGCUUGCAAAAUAAGCCGGAACAAACAUAUGAUAGAGAUUUCGUCCGAAGUUUUCGUGGUGGGACCUACACGGGCUCGAUUGUACAGCACCAUCAUGUACAAGGCAGUGCACAUGACAUACGAAGCGUCCCCGAGUCAGCAUAGCCAAGGACUCUUUAAGACCCAACGAGACCACUGUAAAAUCGACCGUGAAUAGGCGAACCACUAGACGUCGAUUGGAGAAGAUAUCCUAAGUCAGCAUAGCCAAGGACUCUUUAAGACCCAAUUUCAUAUCACACAUCUGUCGGAAAGAUAUCCUAAGAGCUACUUGAAUUCCACCUAUGAAACUCCCGAAACUUUCCGGUUAUGCAAUCAGGUGUUGGGGAUACAGGGGAAGCAUAAUAUCUCACCCAAACUAGCAAUACCUACAUCCAGCUGUAUCCAUCCUUCAACACAUAACCAAGACACUACGGUGCAAGUCAUGGCAAGGCAAGCAUAUAUCCAUAAGGAAGGCACAAAAUGCUAGCUAGACAUGGCAAGAACAAUGGCAUAGCAUGCAUGGAUAACUAGCAAUAGCUCCGGCAAAAUCGCAAAAGAGUUCACGAUCUGCCCAAAUUAACAACGAUGCAAAAGUUGAGCUCGAUUGACUCAACCUAGGGUGCUCCAACAUAGCAAGCAAAGACAUGGAUGGAUAGAGCACAACAAGUUUAACAAAUGUCCCUGAAAUCAGCAAUCUCAGGUACCCCUCUUGGCAAGCUUGCAUAAGACACCACACACAUCCUAAAAAUGCAUGGGUGGCACCUCUGGAAAGAAGACAAAAUGCUUAACAAUUCAUCCCAAAGGGUCAUAGGCAUAUCAUGCACACAAUAAUCAUGGCAAAAAUGACAAAAGUCAAUGUUGAGCUAACGGAUCUGCAAUUUAACUCACGAUGCCUCCUUCUAACAGCAUUUUGGGCAUCAAGAUGAACUCAAAUGCAAAUGAUGCAAUGGAAUGAAAUGAUGUACUCAUCGAGACGAAGAUUUUGAUAUAUUAUAUGCCCAAAACGGAGCUACGGAUGCGGAGAUAUGAUCAGACGAACAUGAGCAUAUGGAUCUGGGAAUUCCGGGGACUUAGCCAAAAUUUAUACCUCUCCGGGAAAAGUCAACGGGACGGAGCGGUGCGGGACGGGGUGGAUCCGGAUCGAGAUGACGACAUUUGGAUGAAGGGACCGGUGGAUCUCGUCCCGAUCCAUCGGAUCGGAUCCGGCCGGGAUUUACUCCGGCGAGCUCCGGCGAUGAUGGCGAGGAGCCUCGGUGGCGGAGGCGGGCCGUGCCGCGAAGGGCGGUGGCCGGCAGGGACUCGGCCGGGCGGCGAGCAGGCGCCGGCGAGGNNNNNNNNNNNNNNNNNNNNNNNNNNNNNNNNNNNNNNNNNNNNNNNNNNNNNNNNNNNNNNNNNNNNNNNNNNNNNNNNNNNNNNNNNNNNNNNNNNNNNNNNNNNNNNNNNNNNNNNNNNNNNNNNNNNNNNNNNNNNNNNNNNNNNNNNNNNNNNNNNNNNNNNNNNNNNNNNNNNNNNNNNNNNNNNNNNNNNNNNNNNNNNNNNNNNNNNNNNNNNNNNNNNNNNNNNNNNNNNNNNNNNNNNNNNNNNNNNNNNNNNNNNNCGCGGGCCCGAUCCGGGCCGCGUGGGCCGGCGGCGGGGCUAGAGGAGAGAGAAGGUGGCGGGAUGACGUGGCGGCGGCGGAUUCGCCGGGUACGGCGGUCGGACAUGUCCGGGGCGUGGAGAUUUGUCCGGUGGCGCGAGGUAGGAGAAGCUAGGGUUUCAUCCGCGAUUUUUUUCGGGGAUGCCCACAUAUUUCCUUCGGCAAACGGGAGUUGCAUAAUCUCAUAGUCAUAGGAACAUGUAUAAGUCAUGAAGAAAGUAAUGGCAACAUACUAAACGAUCGGGUGCUAAGCUAAUGGAAUGGGUCAUGUCAAUCAGAUCAUUCAACUAAUGAUGUGACCUCGUUAAUCAAAUAACAACUCUUUGUUCAUGGUUAGGAAACUUAACCAUCUUUGAUUAACGAGCUAGUCUAGUAGAGGCAUACUAGUGACACUCUGUUUGUCUAUGUAUUCACACAUGUAUUAUGUUUCCGGUUAAUUCAAUUCUAGCAUGAAUAAUUGAAGGAAAUAUGCCCUAGAGGCAAUAAUAAAGUUAUUAUUUAUUUCCUUAUAUCAUGAUAAAUGUUUAUUAUUCAUGCUAGAAUUGUAUUAAUCGGAAACAUGAUACAUGUGUGAAUACAUAGACCAACAGAGUGUCACUAGUAUGCCUCUACUUGACUAGCUCGUUAAUCAAAGAUGGUUAUGUUUCCUAACCAUGAACAAAGAGUUGUUAUUUGAUUAACGAGGUCACAUCAUUAGUUGAAUGAUCUGAUUGACAUGACCCAUUCCAUUAGCUUAGCACCCGAUCGUUUAGUAUGUUGCUAUUGCUUUCUUCAUGACUUAUACAUGUUCCUAUAACUAUGAGAUUAUGCAACUCCCGUUUACCGGAGGAACACUUUGGGUACUACCAAACGUCACAACGUAACUGGGUGAUUAUAAAGGAGUACUACAGGUGUCUCCAAUGGUAGAUGUUGGGUUGGCGUAUUUCGAGAUUAGGGUUUGUCACUCCGAUUGUCGGAGAGGUAUCUCUGGGCCCUCUCGGUAAUGCACAUCACAUAAGCCUUGCAAGCACUGCAACUAAUAUGUUAGUUGUGAGAUGAUGUAUUACGGAACGAGUAAAGAGACUUGCCAGUAACGAGAUUGAACUAGGUAUUGGAUACCGACGAUCGAAUCUCGGGCAAGUAACAUACCGAUGACAAAGGGAACAACGUAUGUUGUUAUGCGGUCUGACCGAUAAAGAUCUUCGUAGAAUAUGUAGGAGCCAAUAUGGGCAUCCAGGUCCCGCUAUUGGUUAUUGACCGGAGACGUGUCUCGGUCAUGUCUACAUUGUUCUUGAACCGUAGGGUCCGCACGCUUAACGUUACGAUGACAGUUAUUAUGAGUUUAUGCAUUUUGAUGUACCGAAGGUUGUUCGGAGUCCCAGAUGAGAUCACGGACUUGACGAGGAGUCUCGAAAUGGUCGAGACGUAAAGAUUGAUAUAUUGGAAGCCUAUGUUUGGACAUAGGAAGUGUUCCGGGUGAAAUCGGGAUUUUACCGGAAUACCGGGAGGGUUACCGGAACCCCCCGGGAGACUAAUGGGCCUAUUGGGCCUUAGUGGAAAAAGAGAAAAGGGGCAGCCCAUAGCUGGCCGGCGCCCCCCCUUUCCCCAAGUCCUAGUAGGACUAGGAUAAGGGGCCGGCCCCCCCCUUCUCUCUCCUUUUCCCCGAGAGUCCUAAUUGGAAUAGGAUUGGAGGGGGGAGUCCUACUCCCGAUGGGAGUAGGACUCCCCCUGCGCCUCCCUCUCCCUGGCCGGCCGGCCCCCCCUCCUCCAACCUUUAUAUACGGGGGGAGGGGACACCCCAAGACACACAAGUUGAUCCUUGAGAUCGUUCCUUAGCCGUGUGCGGUGCCCCCUGCCACCAAAUUCCACCUCGAUCAUACCGUUACAGUGCUUAGGCGAAGCCCUGUGUCGGUAGUACAUCAAGAUCGUCACCACGCCGUCGUGCUGACAGAACUCUUCCUCGACGCUUUGCUGGAUCGGAGCCCGAGGAACGUCAUCGAGCUGAACGUGUGCUAAGAACUCGGAGGUGCCGGAGUAACGGUGCUUGGAUCGGUCGGAUCGGAAAGAAGACGUACGACUACUUCCUCUACGUUGUGUGAUCACUUCCGCAGUCGGUCUGCAUUGGUACGUAGACAACACUCUCCCCUCUCGUUGCUGUGCAUCACCAUGAUCUUGCGUGUGCGUAGGAAAUUUUUCGAAAUUACUGCGUUCCCCAACAUUGGCAUCCGAGCCUAGGUUUUAUGGUUUGAUGUUAUUUGCACGAGUAGAACACAAGUGAGUUGUGGGCGAUACAAGUCAUACUGCCUACCAGCAUGUCAUACUUUGGUUCGGCGGUAUUGUUGGGUGAGACGAUCCGGACCAACCUUACACGUACUCUUACGCGAGACCGGUUCCCUCGACGUGCUUUGCACAUAGAUGGCUUGCGGAAGACUGUCUCUCCAACUUUAGUUGAACCAAGUGUGACUACGCCCGGUCCUUGAGAAGGUUAAAACGGAGUCUAUUUGACGAACUAUCGUUGUGGUUUUGAUGCAUAGGUGAGAUGAGUUCUUACUUAAGCCCGUAGCAGCCACGUAAAACUUGCAACAACAAAGUAGAGGACGUCUAACUUGUUUUUGCAGGGCAUGUUGUGAUGUGAUAUGGUCAAGGCAUGAUGCUGAUUUUAUUGUAUGAGAUGAUCAUGUUUUGUAACCGAGUUAUCGGCAACUGGCAGGAGCCAUAUGGUUGUCGCUUUAUUGUAUGCAAUGCAAUCGCGAUGUAAUGCUUUACUUUAUUACUAAACGGUAGUGAUAGUCGUGGAAGCAUAAGAUUGGCGAGACGACAACGAUGCUACGAUGGAGAUCAAGGUGUCGCGCCGGUGAUGAUGGUGAUCAUGACGGUGCUUCGGAGAUGGAGAUCACAAGCACAAGAUGAUGAUGGCCAUAUCAUAUCACUUAUAUUGAUUGCAUGUGAUGUUUAUCCCUUUUUAUGCAUCUUAUCUUGCUUUGAUUGACGGUAGCAUUAUAAGAUGAUCUCUCACUAAAAAUUAUCAAGAAGUGUUCUCCCUGAGUAUGCACCGUUGCCAAAGUUCGUCGUGCCCAGACACCACGUGAUGAUCGGGUGUGAUAAGCUCUACGUCCAAAUACAACGGGUGCAAAACAGUUGCACACGCAGAAUACUCAGGUUAUACUUGACGAGCCAAGCAUAUACAGAUAUGGCCUCGGAACACGGAGACCGAAAGGUCGAGCGUGAAUCAUAUAGUAGAUAUGAUCAACAUAACGAUGUUCACCAUUGAAAACUACUCCAUCUCACGUGAUGAUCGGUUAUGGUUUAGUUGAUUUGGAUCACGUGAUCACUUAGAAGAUUAGAGGGAUGUCUAUCUAAGUGGGAGUUCCUAAGUAAUUUGAUUAACUGAACUUAAACUUAUCAUGAACUUAGUACCUGAUAGUAUCUUGCUUGUUUAUGUUGAUUGUAGAUAGAUGGCUCGUGCUAUUGUUCCGUUGAAUUUUAAUGCGUUCCUUGAGAAAGCAAAGUUGAAAGAUGAUGGUAGCAAUUACACGGACUGGGUCCGUAACCUGAGGAUCAUCCUCAUUGCUGCACAGAAGAAUUACGUCCUGGAAGCACCGCUGGGUGACAGGCCUGCUGCUGGAGCAACGCCAGAUGUUAUGAACGUCUGGCAGAGCAAAGCUGAUGACUACUCGAUAGUUCAGUGUGCCAUGCUUUACGGCUUAGAAUCGGGACUUCAACGACGUUUUGAACGUCAUGGAGCAUAUGAGAUGUUCCAGGAGUUGAAGUUAAUAUUUCAAGCAAAUGCCCGAAUUGGGAGAUAUGAAGUCUCCAAUAAGUUCUAUAGCUGCAAGAUGGAGGAGAACAGUUCUGUCAGUGAGCAUAUACUCAAAAUGUCUGGGUAUAAUAAUCACUUGAUUCAGAUGGGAGUUAAUCUUCCAGAUGACUGCGUCAUUGACAGAAUUCUCCAAUCACUGCCACCAAGCUACAAGAGCUUCGUGAUGAACUAUAAUAUGCAAGGGAUGAACAAGACUAUUCCCGAGCUCUUCGCAAUGCUGAAAGCUGCGGAGGUAGAAAUCAAGAAGGAGCAUCAAGUGUUGAUGAUUAGCAAAACCACUAGUUUCAAGAAAAAGGGCAAAGGGAAGAAGAAGGGAAACUUCAAGAAGAACAGCAAGCAAGUUGCUGCUCAGGAGAAGAAACCCAAGUCUGGACCUAAGCCUGAAACUGAGUGCUUCUACUGCAAGCAGACAGGUCACUGGAAGCGGAACUGCCCCAAGUAUUUGGCGGAUAAGAAGGAUGGCAAAGUGAGCAAAGGUAUAUGUGAUAUACAUGUUAUUGAUGUGUACCUUACUAGAGCUCGCAGUAGCACCUGGGUAUUUGAUACUGGUUCUGUUGCUAAUAUUUGCAACUCGAAACAGGGACUACGGAAUAAGCGGACGCUAGCAAAGGACGAGGUGACGAUGCGCGUGGGAAACGGUUCCAAAGUCGAUGUGAUCGCGGUCGGCACGCUACCUCUACAUCUACCUUCGGGAUUAAUAUUAGACCUAAAUAAUUGUUAUUUGGUGCCAGCGUUGAGCAUGAACAUUAUAUCUGGAUCUUGUUUAAUGCGAGACGGUUAUUCAUUUAAAUCAGAGAAUAAUGGUUGUUCUAUUUAUAUGAGUAAUAUCUUUUAUGGUCAUGCACCUUUGAAGAGUGGUCUAUUCUUGUUGAAUCUCGAAGAUAGUGAUACACAUAUUCAUAAUGUAGAAGCCAAAAGAUGCAAAGUUAAUAAUGAUAGUGCAACUUAUUUGUGGCACUGCCGUUUAGGUCAUAUCGGUGUAAAACGCAUGAAGAAACUCCAUACUGAUGGGCUUUUGGAACCACUUGAUUAUGAAUCACUUGGGACUUGCGAACCGUGCCUCAUAGGCAAGAUGACUAAAACACCGUUCUCCAGUACUAUGGAGAGAGCAACAGAUUUAUUGGAAAUCAUACAUACCGAUGUAUGUGGUCCGAUGAAUAUUGAGGCUCGUGGCGGAUAUCGUUAUUUUCUCACCUUCACAGAUGAUUUAAGCAGAUAUGGGUAUAUCUACUUAAUGAAACAUAAGUCUGAAACAUUUGAAAAGUUCAAAGAAUUUCAGAGUGAGGUUGAAAAUCAUCGUAACAAGAAAAUAAAGUUUCUACGAUCUGAUCGUGGAGGAGAAUAUUUGAGUUACGAGUUUGGUGUACAUUUGAACAAUUGUGGAAUAGUGUCGCAACUCACGCCACCCGGAACACCACAACGUAAUGGUGUGUCCGAACGUCGUAAUCGUACUUUACUAGAUAUGGUGCGAUCUAUGAUGUCUCUUACUGAUUUACCGCUAUCGUUUUGGGGUUAUGCUUUAGAGACGGCCGCAUUCACGUUAAACAGGGCACCAUCAAAAUCCAUUGAGACGACACCUUAUAAACUAUGGUUUGGCAAGAAACCAAAGUUGUCGUUUCUUAAAGUUUGGGGCUGCGAUGCUUAUGUGAAAAAGCUUCAACCUGAUAAGCUCGAACCCAAAUCGGAGAAAUGUGUCUUCAUAGGAUAUCCAAAGGAAACUAUUGGAUACACCUUCUAUCACAGAUCCGAAGGCAAGACUUUUGUUGCUAAAUUCGGAAACUUUCUAGAGAAGGAGUUUCUCUCGAAAGAAGUGAGUGGGAGGAAAGUAGAACUUGACGAGGUAACUGUACCUGCUCCCUUAUUGGAAAAUAGUACAUCACAGAAAACUGUUUCUGCGACACCUAUACCAAUCAGUGAGGAAGCUAAUGAUGAUGAUCAUGAAGCCUCAGAACAAGAUACUACUGAAACACGUAGAUCAACCAGAGUGAGAUCCGCACCAGAGUGGUACGGUAAUCCAGUUCUGGAAGUCAUGAUGCUAGAUCAUGAUGAACCUACGAACUAUGAAGAAGCGAUGGUGAGCCCAGAUUCCGCAAAGUGGCUUGAGGCCAUGAAAUCUGAGAUGGGAUCCAUGUAUGAAAACAAAGUAUGGACUUUGGUUGACUUGCCCGAUGAUCGGCAAGCAAUUGAGAAUAAAUGGAUCUUCAAGAAAAAGACUGACGCCGACGGUAACAUUACUGUCUAUAAAGCUCGACUUGUCGCGAAAGGUUUUCGACAAGUUCAAGGAGUUGACUACGAUGAGACCUUCUCACCCGUAGCGAUGCUUAAGUCCGUCAGAAUUAUGUUAGCAAUUGCCGCAUUUUAUGAUUAUGAAAUAUGGCAGAUGGAUGUCAAAACUGCAUUCCUGAAUGGAUUUCUGGAAGAAGAGUUGUAUAUGAUACAACCAGAAGGUUUUGUCGAUCCAAAGGGAGCUAACAAAGCAUGCAAACUCCAGCGAUCCAUUUAUGGACUGGUGCAAGCAUCUCGGAGUUGGAAUAAACGCUUUGAUAGUGUGAUCAAAGCAUUUGGCUUUAUACAGACUUUUGGAGAAGCCUGUAUUUACAAGAAAGUGAGUGGGAGCUCUGUAGCAUUUCUAAUAUUAUAUGUGGAUGACAUAUUGCUGAUUGGAAAUGAUAUAGAAUUUCUGGAUAGCAUAAAGGGAUACUUGAAUAAAAGUUUUUCGAUGAAAGACCUCGGGGAAGCUGCUUACAUAUUAGGCAUAAAGAUCUAUAGAGAUAGAUCAAAACGCUUAAUUGGACUUUCACAGAGCACAUACCUUGACAAGAUUUUGAAGAAGUUCAAAAUGGAUCAAGCAAAGAAAGGGUUCUUGCCUGUGUUACAAGGUAUGAAGUUGAGUCAGACUCAAUGCCCGACCACUGCAAAAGAUAGAGAGAAAAAGAAAGAUGUUCCCUAUGCUUCAGCCAUAGGCUCUAUCAUGUAUGCAAUGCUGUGUACCAUACCUGAUGUGUGCCUUGCUAUAAGUUUAGCAGGGAGGUACCAAAGUAAUCCAGGAAUGGAUCACUGGACAGCGGUCAAGAACAUCCUGAAAUACCUGAAAAGGACUAAGGAUAUGUUUCUCGUAUAUGGAGGUGACAAAGAGCUCACUGUAAGAGGUUACAUUGAUGCAAGCUUUGACACUGAUCCGGACGAUUCUAAAUCGCAAACCGGAUACAUGCUUACUUUAAACGGUGGAGCUGUCAGUUGGUGCAGUUCUAAACAAAGCGUCGUAGCGGGAUCUACAUGUGAAGCGGAGUACAUAGCUACUUCAGAAGCAGCAAACGAAGGAGUCUGGAUGAAGGAGUUCAUAUCCGAUCUAGGUGUCAUACCUAGUGCAUCGGGUCCAAUGAAAAUCUUCUGUGACAAUACUGGUGCAAUUGCCUUGGCAAAGGAAUCCAGAUUUCACAAAAGGACCAAACACAUCAAGAGACGCUUCAACUCCAUCCGGGAUUUAGUCCAGGUGGGAGACAUAGAGAUUUGCAAGAUACAUACGGAUCUGAACGUUGCAGACCCGUUGACUAAGCCUCUUCCACGAGCAAAACAUGAUCAGCACCAAGGCUCCAUGGGUGUUAGAAUCAUUACAGUGUAAUCUAGAUUAUUGACUGUAGUGCAAGUGGGAGACUGAAGGAAAUAUGCCCUAGAGGCAAUAAUAAAGUUAUUAUUUAUUUCCUUAUAUCAUGAUAAAUGUUUAUUAUUCAUGCUAGAAUUGUAUUAACCGGAAACAUGAUACAUGUGUGAAUACAUAGACCAACAGAGUGUCACUAGUAUGCCUCUACUUGACUAGCUCGUUAAUCAAAGAUGGUUAUGUUUCCUAACCAUGAACAAAGAGUUGUUAUUUGAUUAACGAGGUCACAUCAUUAGUUGAAUGAUCUGAUCGACAUGACCCAUUCCAUUAGCUUAGCACCCGAUCGUUUAGUAUGUUGCUAUUGCUUUCUUCAUGACUUAUACAUGUUCCUAUAACUAUGAGAUUAUGCAACUCCCGUUUACCGGAGGAACACUUUGGGUACUACCAAACGUCACAACGUAACUGGGUGAUUAUAAAGGAGUACUACAGGUGUCUCCAAUGGUAGAUGUUGGGUUGGCGUAUUUCGAGAUUAGGGUUUGUCACUCCGAUUGUCGGAGAGGUAUCUCUGGGCCCUCUCGGUAAUGCACAUCACAUAAGCCUUGCAAGCACUGCAACUAAUAUGUUAGUUGUGAGAUGAUGUAUUACGGAACGAGUAAAGAGACUUGCCAGUAACGAGAUUGAACUAGGUAUUGGAUACCGACGAUCGAAUCUCGGGCAAGUAACAUACCGAUGACAAAGGGAACAACGUAUGUUGUUAUGCGGUCUGACCGAUAAAGAUCUUCGUAGAAUAUGUAGGAGCCAAUAUGGGCAUCCAGGUCCCGCUAUUGGUUAUUGACCGGAGACGUGUCUCGGUCAUGUCUACAUUGUUCUCGAACCGUAGGGUCCGCACGCUUAACGUUACGAUGACAGUUAUUAUGAGUUUAUGCAUUUUGAUGUACCGAAGGUUGUUCGGAGUCCCAGAUGAGAUCACAGACUUGACGAGGAGUCUCGAAAUGGUCGAGACGUAAAGAUUGAUAUAUUGGAAGCCUAUGUUUGGACAUAGGAAGUGUUCCGGGUGAAAUCGGGAUUUUACCGGAAUACCGGGAGGGUUACCGGAACCCCCCGGGAGACUAAUGGGCCUAUUGGGCCUUAGUGGAAAAAGAGAAAAGGGGCANNNNNNNNNNNNNNNNNNNNNNNNNNNNNNNNNNNNNNNNNNNNNNNNNNNNNNNNNNNNNNNNNNNNNNNNNNNNNNNNNNNNNNNNNNNNNNNNNNNNNNNNNNNNNNNNNNNNNNNNNNNNNNNNNNNNNNNNNNNNNNNNNNNNNNNNNNNNNNNNNNNNNNNNNNNNNNNNNNNNNNNNNNNNNNNNNNNNNNNNNNNNNNNNNNNNNNNNNNNNNNNNNNNNNNNNNNNNNNNNNNNNNNNNNNNNNNNNNNNNNNNNNNNNNNNNNNNNNNNNNNNNNNNNNNNNNNNNNNNNNNNNNNNNNNNNNNNNNNNNNNNNNNNNNNNNNNNNNNNNNNNNNNNNNNNNNNNNNNNNNNNNNNNNNNNNNNNNNNNNNNNNNNNNNNNNNNNNNNNNNNNNNNNNNNNNNNNNNNNNNNNNNNNNNNNNNUUUCCCCGAGAGUCCUAAUUGGAAUAGGAUUGGAGGGGGGAGUCCUACUCCCGGUGGGAGUAGGACUCCCCCUGCGCCUCCCUCUCCCUGGCCGGCCGGCCCCCCCUCCUCCAACCUUUAUAUACGGGGGCAAGGGACACCCCAAGACACACAAGUUGAUCCUUGAGAUCGUUCCUUAGCCGUGUGCGGUGCCCCCUGCCACCAAAUUCCACCUCGAUCAUACCGUUACAGUGCUUAGGCGAAGCCCUGCGUCGGUAGUACAUCAAGAUCGUCACCACGCCGUCGUGCUGACGGAACUCUUCCUCGACGCUUUGCUGGAUCGGAGCCCGAGGAACGUCAUCGAGCUGAACAUGUGCUAAGAACUCGGAGGUGCCGGAGUAACGGUGCUUGGAUCGGUCGGAUCGGAAAGAAGACGUACGACUACUUCCUCUACGUUGUGUGAUCGCUUCCGCAGUCAGUCUGCGUUGGUACGUAGACAACACUCUCCCCUCUCGUUGCUGUGCAUCACCAUGAUCUUGAGUGUGCGUAGGAAAAUUUUCGAAAUUACUGCGUUCCCCAACAAUAAUAAACAUUUAUCAUGAUAUAAGGAAAUAAAUAAUAACUUUAUUAUUUCCUCUAGGGCAUAUUUCCUUCAUUCAUCCCAUACCAUUUGAACAGGGCAUGAAUUCUUUUGUAAGUCACAGGAAAACCAGAAUGCCCACCAACUGGAGUAACAUGAAAAGCAUUGCAAAUCUUAGCUUGCAGUUGUACAUCAUUGCCAAUCCAUAUGGAGUUGUUGUACCUGAUUAAUCCAUUAACCAAGAUAUAGGAAGGUUUGGAUGCUGGGUCCACAGCCAAUUGUUGCAACAACUCUUGAGCUUUAGGAUCUUGUUGAGAGCUGUCCACAAUUUCCUGUAACCAAGAGGGCUGAGAAGAAGAGAUGGGCAUGGCUUGAGAGGGAGGAUGAGGUCUCCUGGAUAAAGCAUCUGCAGCAGAGUUAUAUGUGCCCUUUUUGUACAAGAUCUUAUCAUUGAGACCAAGGAGUUUGGUGAACACUUUCUGCUGCCAGGGUGUAUGCAACCUUUGAUCAGAUAAAUGAGUCAGGCUUUUCUGAUCUGUUUUGACCACAAACUCUUGAAAUUGCAAAUAGGGCCUCCACUGUUCCACUGCCAGAAGAAUAGCUAGAUAUUCUUUUUCAUAAACAGAUAAUCCUCUGUUCUUUGGACCUAAGGCUCUACUGACAAAUGCAAGAGGAUGCCCUUUUUGCAUAAGUACUGCUCCUAUACCAGUAUCACAAGCAUCAGUCUCCAAUACAAAUGGCAAGGAGAAAUCAGGGAGGGCCAUGUCAGGUGCUUGUACUAGAGCUUCCUUGAGAGUGACAAAAGCAGUUUUAGCAGCCUGGGUCCACACAAACAAUGUGCCUUUCCUUAAUAGUUCAGUCAAGCGUUUACUAAUCACACCAUAGUUUCUAAUGAAUUUCCUGUAGUACCCAGUGAGGCCCAAAAAACCCCUAAUCUCUUUUACAUUGACAGGAGUGAGCUAGUUCUGAACUGCUAGAAUUUUACAAGGAUCAGUAGAAACCCCUUUGUCACUGAUGACAUGACCCAAAUAAGCAAUUUGCUACUGUGCAAAGGAACACUUGCUCAACUUGACUUUCCAUUGCUUUUCUUGCAAGGUGCUGAGGACCUUUUCCACAUGCAAUAGAUGUUCCUUCAAGGUUUUACUGAAAAUCAGGAUAUCAUCAAAAAUACCAGAACAAAUUCCCUGAGUGCAGGUAGAUCAGAAUUCAUAGCACCUUGGAAUGUACCAGGAGCUUCAGACAGUCCAAAACCCAUGACCAAGAGCUCAUAAUGACCUUAAUGAGUUUGAAAUGCAGUUUUAAACUCUUCACCAGGGGCCAUUCUAAUUUGGUGGUAGCCUGCCCUUAAGUCCAGUUUAGUAAACCAGCAAGCACCAUGCAAUUCAUCCAGUAACUCAUCUAUCAUAGGUAUAGGAUAUUUUCCCUUCACUGUUAUAGCAUUCAAAUGCCUGUAGUCCACUACCAUGCGCCAAGUGCCAUCCUUCUUCUUGACCAUCAGCACAGGAGAGGAAAAGGGGCCACGACUUAGUCUGAUCAUACCAUUUUUCAGUAACUCUUUUACUUGUUUUUCCAUCUCUGUUUUCAAGUGGGGAGCCACUCUAUAAGGUCUGACAGCCACUAGUGUAGCAACCGGUAUAAGUGGUAUAGUAUGGUCAUACUACCUCCUAGGUGGCAGUCCUUUUGGUUCAUCAAAUACAGAAGAAAUUUUUUUCCAACAGUGCUUGUACUUCAGGAAUGUGAGAAUUGGUUUCUUUGUUUUCUGUGUCAGCCAAUUCCACACUCAUAACUGUAAAAGUGCAGUCAUCAGGUAGUACACCUUGUAAUGUGACCCAGUUUCCUUGAGACUGGAAUGAAAACCAUUUUUGAUCCCAAUCUAUCACCAUUAGACUAUGGUUUGAUAGCCAAUCAAGUCCCAAAAUUCCAUCAUAGUUGCCUAACUGAAGAAAUCUGAAGUCUGAUUUGAAUUCAUUAUUCUGACAAGACCAACUACAUUGCUUCACUAUCUGGGAGCAGUACAACUUAGCACCACCUGCUAUCUGGGAGCUAUAUUAUCUACUGUUUUGGACUAUAUUGGGCUUUAUUUUCCACUUUUAUAUUAUUUUUGGGACUAACCUAUUAACCGAAGGCCCAGCCCAGAAUUGUUGUUUUUUUGCCUAUUUCGGUGUUUCGAAGAAACGAAAUAUCAAACGGAGUCCAAACGGAAUAAAAUCUUCGGGAACGUGAUUUUGUCACCGAACGUGAUCCAGGAGACUUGGACCCUGCUCCAAGGAACAAAAGAGGCGGUCACGAGGGUGGGGGGCGCCCCCCUAGGGCGCGCCGUCCUGCCUCGUGGGCCCCUUGUUGCUCCUCCAGCAUACUUCUUCCUCCUGUAUAUACACACGUACCCCAAACGAUCAGAACAGGAGCCAAAAACCUAAUUCCACCGUCGCAACUUUCUGUAUCCACGAGAUCCCAUCUUGGGGCCUGUUCUGGAGCUCCGCCGGAAGAGGGCCGUCAUCACGGAGGGCUUCUACAUCAUGAUAGCCUCUCCGAUGAAGUGUGAGUAGUUUACCUCAGACCUUUGGCUCCAUAGUUAGUAGCUAGAUGGCUUCUUCUCUCUCUUUAAAUCUCAAUACAAAGUUCUCCCCCUCUCUUGUGGAGAUCUAUUCGAUGUAAUCUUCUUUUUGCGGUGUGUUUGUUGAGACCGAUGAAUUGUGGGUUUAUGAUCAAGUCUAUCUAUGAAUAAUAUUUGAAUCUUCUCUGAAUUCUUUUAUGUAUGAUUGGUUAUCUUUGCAAGUCUCUUCGAAUUAUCCGUUUGGUUUGGCCAACUAGAUUGGUAGUUCUUGCCAUGGGAGAAGUGCUUAGCUUUGGGUUCGAUCUUGCGGUGUCCUUACCCAGUGACAGAAGGGGCAGCAAGGCACGUAUUGUAUCGUUUCCAUCGAGGAUAACAAGAUAGGGUUUAUUUCAUAUUGCAUGAAUUUAUCUCUCUACAUCAUGUCAUCUUGCUUAAGGUGUUACUCUGUUUUUAACUUAAUACUCUAGAUGCAUGCUGGAUAGCGGUCGAUGAGUGGAGUAAUAUUAGUAGAUGCAGAAUCGUUUCGAUCUACUUGUCACGGACGUGAUGCCUAUAUACAUGAUCAUGCCUAGAUAUUCUCAUAACUAUGCUCAAUUCUGUCAAUUGCUCAACAGUAAUUUGUUCACCCACCAUAGAAUACUUAUGCUCUUGAGAGAAGCCACUAGUGAAACCUAUGGCCCCCGGGUCUAUUCUCAUCAUAUCAAUGUCCAUCACUUUAAUCUUGCUUUGCUUUUUUACUUUGCAUCUUUAUACCAAAAAUACCAAAAAUAUUAUAUCUAUCAGAUCUCACUCUCGUAAGUGAUCGUGAAGGGAUUGACAACCCGUAAUCGCGUUGGUUGCGAGUAGCUAUCGCUUUGUGCAGGUACGAGGGACUUGAGCGUGGGCUCCUACUGGAUUGAUACCUUGGUUCUCAAAAACUGAGGGAAAUACUUACGCUACUCUGCUGCAUCAUCCCUUCCUCGUCGGGGAAAACCAACGCAAGCUCAAGACGUAGCAAGUCACUAUCAGACGACUCCUGAUAGAAUGAAGCAGUACUUUGGGUGUGUUCAAUCAUCUCCUGCACUAUAUGGAGUUGAACAGAAGAUUUGUAUUGGUGGUCCUUGGACCAUUUCUCUCCACAGGUGAAACAUAACCCCUUUGAUUUCCUGUAGGUGCGCAACGUGAUCCACUUAUCCUCUGAGGAAGCGCCCUUGCCGUUCUCAAUAGGCCUCCUGUCAGCAGCAACUAGAGCUCUCUGAAUUGUCGAAGCUGCUGUCAUUGUCUUCUUGAAUUGAAACGGAGAGGAGUUUGUGUCACUUAAUUCUUCAUGGAGAAAGGCUGUGUCAUAAGCUGUGUCCAGGUCCUGACGUUUCUGCAGAGCAACUGACAUCCUCACACCCGGCUUGAGGCCAUCGAUGAAACAAGUGGUAUAGUACAGACUGUCAGGCACAUCCUCAUAAGCUGAAAGCUGGUCAUAUAGUUCUGUAAAUCGUUCCACAUAAUCUGUCACUGUCGAUUCCUGAGCAAUUCUGAACAUCUGUCUCACCAGGGUCUGAUGUUGAUUGCGACCGAAUCUGUUCAAUAACAGCUGACAGAACUUUGUCCAGGACAAAUUCGGUGAUCUACGCUGUACUGCCUCGAGCCAUCUAGCUGCUGCACCAUCAAACUUGGACGUGGUGAAGGAAAUCCACCUUGCUGCUGGAGUACCCCAUAGCUUGAAACAGUCCUUGCAGCGCGAUUGCCACAGUCGCGGAUUCGAGCCAUCGAAACGCGGUAGUUCCACAACGGGAGCAGAUUGGUACAGGUCAGAGACGUCCGAUGCAGCGAAAUCUCGAGGAGAAAAAAUUUCACGGGGAGAAACGGAAUCACACGCACCUCUGACCGGAGGAGGCACAUAAACCUGAUGCGCCUUCCCCCGGUGAAACUUGUCGAAGCCAAGGGGAUCUGUCGCCGUCGAAUCGCGGCCGCCCCCAACUUCCUUGCUGGUCGACGGGCUCGUCUGCUUGCACAGAAUCUCCUCCUUGCCGCAGCGCUCGAGUUCCACACGGAUUUGUUCAACGUCGAGGUUGAACUCGGAUCUAGCACCGUCGAUUCGCGCCGUGACGAGGCCGUCGAGCGCCAUCGUCGUCUCCUUGAGCAUUUUGCCGACGGACUUGAUGAUCUCCUCGCCGUGCGCCUUGAAGCGUUGAUCCAGCACCUCGGCGAAGGCCGCACGAAGCAGCUCCUGGAUCUCUCACCCCUCGGACGACAGCUUGUCCAUGGCGGCGCUCUGCUGCUGGAGCUUGAAACGCGUGGCGUGGACGUGGCUUGGGAUCUCCAGGAUCAGAAAGCUCCGAUACCAGAUGUAAGGAUCCUGCUACCUCCAUGAACGAGAUCUAGGUUUGAAUUUGGUUUAGCUGUCCUGCCAACCACCCACACAACAAUUCAAAUUACAAAUCACACACACACACGCUUGAGCCAGGCCGAAGCCUCCCGUUCCUUCCUGUCCUUUACUGAUGACGACGGGAAGUAUUUAAACCCUCUCUACCGUUACACCCGCUUAGCGGGCCUAGUCUGGGCUUGCAAGCCAUUGGGGAACCCUCUUGUUACGGAUGGGCCGGCCUGCCGGCCCAUGACUUGAGUUGCUCGCUUCCCGCGUCUCUUCUCGAUCAGCAUCAUCUUCAGUGUUGACGAUCGGGCUGCUGAUAAACAAUCACCGAUAAAAUUGUUGAACAUCUUCGUGGAGUCGAGGAGAUCCGCAUCAGUUGUCUUAUAAUAGAUGUCCUUGGUCAGGAUCUCGAACUCUGCCUCAUAAAUCUUCUGGGUCGCCAUGGCGAGGGCGACGGUCCUGCCGAUCUUGAGGUGGUCGUCGCCUCUCAUGAUGAACCUGAGCUUCAGCAUGCGGAUGGGGAUCCGAGGAGACCUCGUGCUCAGGAUCUUGUCCGCCACGUCGGCCACAUCACAGUUCUUCCAGAGUAGAUCGCCGUCGCUGAGGUCGAUGACGAUCUGCGAGAGCAAGGCCGGCAGGUUGAGCGUUUGCUUGGAGAUGAGGCAGGCCCUGACAGCGUCGAGCGCGCCGACCCUCUCCAAGAUGUUGAGCAGCACAUGGUCGGGCAGUUUGAUUAGCCUGUCGACUUUCAACAGCUGGAUAGAUAGAUUAAUAAGUUAAAUGAUUCAUGCACAAGAAUUUGAGGAGGAACACAAGCAACGGGGGUUUACAUCACGGCGGUGGCGGCGAACCCGGUUGAGCUUCAUGGCGGUCUGAUCUCCAGGAACAACGAAGUGGCAAAUGGUGGCUCAGCUUACAUCGCGGCGGCGGAAAUCGCCUGCACGGUCCUUCCUUAGGUGCGAUGCUCAAGAUUGCAGACGUUUAUAUGGCAGCCUCCUCUGACUUCAACAUUGUCAGUCAGUCCCCACUAUCCUUCUGGCAUUGCAUGUUCUUGGCGCUGUCGGCACCUUGGCGUCUAUCAUGUACGUGCCGCCGGGUCGAGACGCACGCUGCAGGGUAAGACGUAGACAUGUGGAUCUUCGUUUUGUGAACUUCACGUCAUGAUUUGCAAGCAGAGCAUCGGGCUACAGCUGCCGUUCGUGCCGCGCAAGCUCCAGUGGGGAACACAUUGUUCGCUCCGCUGCUGGCGUGCGUGCGCCCCGCUGCCGCGGGCCAGGGGGGCAUGCCCAUUGUCCAUUGAGCAAGGAGAUGGUGAAGGAGAUGAAAGAGUUGUCAGCGAUCGUCGUCGGGCUCGACGGCUCGUCCGCGGCGGCGAUGGUGUGCGGCAUGCAUGGAGUGGGGUGGCGUGUUGCGGGGAUGAGCACGUAGCAGGAGAAGACGUAGGGGAGACGGGUGAUAUGGCAAUACGUGGAUUGUCUGCUUGUUUUUUUAGAUAAAAGAGGCACCGGGAGGAGAAAAUGAUGCGGCCGUUGGAUGGUAAUUGAACGAGUCGGGAGUACGGAUGGGAGCACGACAAGAGAGCAGGCAAGCCCUUCUUGGUCUGUUAUUUUUUUCUUUCUAAAUGCAACUAUUUUUUCUUUCUACAAAGAUAAUUUACGAUCUAUUCAUCAACUGUAAGCUAGUAGUAGUACAAAGAACACUAAAAGGAAAAAAAUACAUCUAGAUUUGUAUAGAUCAUCUAGCGACAAGCUACAAGCAUUGGAGUUGUUAAAAUAAAUCCGAGGCACUCCGUCGAUCAUCCGAGGACUAAGCAAUCACACGAGCACGACACUGAUAUUCGUUAACGAGCUUCAUCGAUAUGGCUACGUCCCCGGAGCCUGACUACGGGCGCUCUUUCCCGUGACACCGUCACAAUACCGCACCCGGUCGCCCUGAACGCCAGCACAUGCCGCCGGCUUCCCCCUGCAUUUUGGUGCUAUUAUGUUGGCAUAGGUUACAUCGUGUGUCUAGCCUCGCUAUAUAUGAGAGGCUUAGGAUACAAGUGUCCUACUAGGACACGACUCCAUAUCCUAUCUAAACACAAUACAACUGCAAGUCCAACUUAACCUACCUUGUACACUAUAUUCGACACAACUUCAACAAACUCCACCUUGGCGAAUAUUCUCCACCACUUUAAAUUCGUCAAUGCAUCAAACUUUCAUGUACAUUGAACUUGAGCUUAUCCCGUGAGUACCGCUGCUACUCCAAAGACUCCAUGUGACUCCACCUGCAACUUGUAGUCCCAUCAUUUCUUGACAACAGUCAACACUCGAGCAAAAUUAAGUUCCUUGUUACUCUAGUUUGUGUUCCUAACUUCCAGAGUAUUCGUCCAACGCCAUCACACACUGAUCACUGACCUGCGUGAAAGUGAAUAACUCACAUAUUGGGUGUCACACAUAAGAGUUACCUGAACUCAACAUCACUGCUCCUUUCUUGACCGUCUGUAUGAAACCUGAAGGAAUUUCACCAUUUUUUGUAGUCAUCCCGAGUCAAAUUCACAGUUGUCUCACCACAUGUAUGACCACCAGAGCCCUGGCCCGUCUCCAUGUCCCAUGCAUACCGCACGCCUCACCGCUAUUAUCGCGUCGAGCCUCCGCUGUCCCGGUCGAGUCUCAAGGGUCGCGAACCCACACCACUCAAGCCCCACUACAAAGUACCACCGAUCAUCACCGACCGAUGAUGAGUUUCAGGCUUCCAUCAGACCACUGGGUUCCAGUCCAAACUACGUGUCACUCGCUUUUCUCCCUUGCCGAAUAGGCUUCGAUUCUCUGGAUCCUUACACCGUAGCCCCUCAAUCCAGCUCCACCUUCAACAUGACUCCAUGGUAGAUGAUCAGUCCACCCUCGCACCUCAUCGACUUCAAGCUCCGUGUAUACACCACCUUGAAUCAAUCCCGCGCCAUAGUCUUGUCGAAGCCACACAAGCCCUCGGGCCUGCGCCACGUGUUUCCACGCCCCAGAAGUCGGUCACUAUCAGCAUCGCGCACCUAUGUCGUCGUCGCCGAUUCCAUCACCGUCUUCUGUACCAACCGACUUGCCGCCGGCUUCCCCCGCGUUCCGGUGCUGUUAUGUUGGCAUAGGUUACAUCGUGUGUCUAGUCCCGCUAUAUAUGAGAGGCCUAGGAUACAAGUGUCCUAUUAGGACACGACUCCAUAUCCUAUCUAAACACAAUACAACUACAAGUCCAACUGUAACCUACCUUGUACACUAUAUUCGACACAACUCCAACAGGAGCGAGCCGAAGGCGCGCCAUCGUCUUUGCCUCUUCCACAUUGAACCCCGACAAACCUUUUUAUAGUAAACAGUCAAAAAGUCAUCGUGCUAAGGCCUCAUAAGGCCAGCCCGCCAGAAUGCAGCAACGCUACCGAUGAAGAGAAGUAUAGAUCGAAAGGAUCUAACCUAUAGACCCAGGCACAUAGAAGAAUAAAGACAUGAUCCACGUGGAUUUCACUGAAGACAAACGCCGCCCGAAUCAUGUGAGAUCUGCCGGAGAGAAAACUUCACACAUCCAACGACGAUACUAGAAACACACCGGGACGGUAACUAUGCGGGGAAAAACUUAUUCCCUUUUCAGAGAGCCGCUGCCGCCUCACCUCUCUAAGCAGAACAUAAACCCUAACAAAACUCAAAAGAUUAUGAAAAAAUCAAGCCCUCCCGCCGGCAAAGGCAAAGAUCCACCGCGCGUACAUUGGCCCUAAGACCACAGAAAAAGGAGGUAGACCAAGGACGGCACUGGCCAGAGGCAUUGUCGAUGUUGCACGAUGCCACGACAACAUCACCAGUGUUGUGGAUGUCACCGUGCAACUUCGCCGACGUUGCCAUUGAUGCCACAAAACAUCGCCUGUGUUGCGGAAGCACCGGGCAACACACAUCACCUUGUAGUUGUAGCACCCGAGCGGAUCGGCUUGUACAACAACUUGGGGCUUGCUACACCGGCAUCCCCUGACCACUCCAUUGCGGCGGCAUUCGGUGGCUCGGUGCCCCCAGCCUGCCAUACCCCAGUGACGGGCAGUACCUCUCCUUGGAGCAGUAGGCGUCUUUUUUUUAGAGUAUUUUUCGGAUGAAGCAGUAGGCGUCUUGCGUAGAGUAGCUGGGGAAGAGUUAACAAAAAUACCACGCAUCAAAAUUGUUCAUAGUAUAUGUUUUCAGCGUGUAUUUUAAAAUUGAUCUUUGUGUUUGAAAAAUAUUUCCUCAUAUAUUUUAAAAAUAGGUUCGCCGUGUACUUGAAAAUGUUCAUCCUGUAUAUGCAAAAUGUUCAUUGUGUCUUAAAAAUACUUCGCCAUGUCUUCAAACUUUUCUUAUGUACUUUAAAAAUGUCCAUCAUGCUUUAAAAAUAUAUUCAUCGUAUAUGCUCAUCGUGUCUUACAAAUGUCCCUUGUAUAUUCAAAAUAUCCAUCAUGUAUUUUAAAAAUGUUCAUCGUGUAUUAGAGAAGUACCAUGCAUCAAAAUUGUUGAUGCUGUAUCUAGAAAAUGUUCAUCGUGCAUUUUAAAAAUGGUCAUGUUGUGCGUGGUGCUGGAAACAAACAAGCACGAAAAAUACGGAGUUUUGUUUACACUUCAGGAUCGCCUUGUGCUUGGGUGCUCCUAUCAUUCUGAAGAAUUCGGUGAAAUCCAUGGAAACGAACAAUUUUUCAAAUUCAUGAAGAUGCCCACAUAUAUAUGUCAGGUUCCGGAUGAAAAUCUUAAGCUAAGACUUCCAGUGCUACUUCGUAUCAUUCAGCAAGCAGUUUAAACCUGUGAACCUGUCGAAACAAAAGAAGCCACUGAUCAAUGCUGGAAAUAAACCUUGCGGCUUCAGAAACUUCAGUUCUGUAGGUUCAGUUUCAGGUGUCGUUUUCUUCAGUUUCGUCAGUUGGCAGAUUUGUUAGUUAGAAGGUUUAGCUCGCAGGCUUGACAACCUGGAGUGGAUGAGGAUGGUGCAUAGUCGCGGCCACUAGCCCCAUUUCCUUUUCUGUAAUCUGCAUAAAUAGAAGAGAAUAAAGAGCAGAAAAGCCGCAGAAGUUUGAGCAGCCCGAAACCUCUUCUUCUACCUCUCGAACUUUUGCUAUGAAACUGAAAUGCAUCCUGAGCCCGCUCAAUAAGAUAGCAUGCCAAGUGAUAUGCCAAAGACUUAGUCAUUAGUCAACGGUAGAAGUAAAAUAAACUGAAGCCACUGAAACUGAAUUCCCUCAAAAAGUAAAUAAAAGCCACUGAAACUGAAGCAGUUCCCCUGGAAAGCAAAGUUUGCAUUCUUAGUACAGUGAGAAGUAAAACUCAUUUCACAAUGAAAACCAGGUUCAAGCAUUUAUCAGGAAUAAGAAAUAUCCACGAUAUCCAUUUGAUAAGAUACUUGACAAUAAUGUUUAGAGUAAACCUUAUCCUCCUCGACUCAGUACGAUCUCAAAAUACACAUAAUUGAAAAGGUUCACUAGUGACAAUUAAUCCAUGAAUCAUACGACAGUUUCUGUAAACUGAAGCUUGCAGUGCAAGAGCAUUAUUAUUUUCAGAAGACUUGCCCCAAACUCGGAAAGUGAAUCCGGACAUGCGAGGGUAUCUCCUUGCUGAAUUCGUAGCUAAGCCAAGACGUCUCCUCAAAUGUCCACUCCUUAAGCAUGUGCUUGCACCUAACACACACUGGACUCUUGUAUAGUCUUAUAUUCUCCAGAUUCACAGCUGCUUCCACGACAUCUCUGGCAAAUCGCACUAGUUUGUCUGCUGCAUGAAACCUCCCAUAGAUACCGAGCUCUGCCAGGUUGUGGUGCUUGAAAUCAGAUGCAGAUGGUUCCCACUCUAGUCCCUUGUCCUUCUCCUUGCAAACCACAGGCAACUCCCUCCGCUUCCCUGUUAUCAUUUCACAUUGAUGAUUCCGCACCUGCAUUCGGUCAGGUCAAAAAAAAAAUUCCUAACUGGUCACACAAAGUUUGAACAUCGAAAAUGAGAAUUGGAGAAUCGGUACAAGAGUUCACCAAGAUGUGUAGUUCCUUAAGGUUGGGUGCGCCAUGGAGUAAGAACAUUGUCCAAGUCAGAUCACACUCUUCAGCAAUGUUAAUCCAAUUCACAAUCCUGAGUUUGUGGAACACCGGUAACAAUUGUCUACGACCUUCCGGUUUGACCCAAAUCUGCAAAAGAUGUAGUAAUGUAGGAUCAUGUUAACCAAAAAAUAAUGAUUACAACCUCCCCACGACAUGGCCAGCAAAACAUAUACACGUCGCUGACAACAUUGAGGACCUUCACUAACCUUUUCGCUUUUGAAGUCCAAAGACAGAUUGCUUAUGGCAGAGUUACCAAGCAACUCACUUAACUUGAGCAUCUUGUGCCAAGUGAAAGCAACAUUAAUGAUGGACACAGUCUGGAGCAGUGGGACAUAGCCAAGACAGAAGGGGUCAUCCCGAGAUCUAAACACAUUAAAUUUCAGUUUUGUGAGCUUUGGUACCCACUUCAGAUCAACCCUCUCAAAACGGCCACAGACAAUCACUAGUUCACUGAGUUGCGGGUGUUCCACUUCCAGCAAAGACUUAAUACCCAUGUCACAUUCGUAGAGGGAGAGGAACUCCAGUUGCUUGCAUAUACUGAAAAUCUUGGGGAAACCUGAUUCUCCUAACCUCAAAUUCUCUAGCGUGAGGCGUGCAAGACCACCAAAUGCGUUUGGACAUGAAUCAAAGAAUGACAUGAAUUGCUUCCCAUAUAUGAGCAGCUCAUUCUUGGUACACUUCUUACGCACCUUCGUCAAGAUUGUAAACUCAGCUGAAUCAACCUUUUGUGUUGCUAUGGCAUUGGCAACAGUCUGGCCAAUUAAAAUGGACUCAUCUCCCAAGUAGAAUUGCAUGCGCAACAGGUGAAUGGGGUACAGACUUCCAGCUCUCCUUUCCAGUAUGCUCCUGGUUGCUUCCAGCACGGUGGUGUUGGCCCGAACUAUAUCAUCUGGGGUUAACUUGCUCCAGUCUUCGUGCUUCGGCUCAAAAGAACCAGCCAAUAUAACAACUUUCGAGAGUAUAGCAGGGAUCUGCUUCCAACGUCUGGAGAGGACGGUGGUUCGUGCGACGUCAACGAUACCAAGUCGCUCGACAAUGUUGAGCAAAACGUCAUCAGGCAACUUGCUGAGCCGAUCAUCUUGACUGUCCUCCUACAUUUGAUAAGGAAACAAAUCAGAGUUGAUUUCUUGUUAGCAUCAUCAUUCAUAGAUGCCUGUGAAGCACGGAUACGGACAAAUCUGCCAUUUCCACGUACAUAAGGCCGCUUAUAGAGAGGAUGAUCCAGCUAGAGCUCAAAGGGUGACAACACCAACACCACCAUGUUCGCCAUCACCGGAGAGGUUUUGCGAUGUCUCGGGACUUGCUGGCCUCCGGCGAAUUCUAGUGACUGCCAGGGAGACCACCGCUUGGCAGGGGCAGAGCUAGCAAUUGACAACAGGAUGGUCCGCCUCAAAAGAAUUGACAACAAAUAUGACAUGUAAAGAUUGUAACUAAUUGCAAAUUACCACAUAGAAAUAGAUUAAUAUGGUCUUACAAACACACUAAUCAGAGGUUGGGGAACUGGAAAAUGGUACCUCAAAUCAGGCUGAGACGAGUGCCGGAGUGAAGACCGGGCGGUGGGCGGCUGCGGCCGGGGCAGGGCAACAGGGUUGCGGCCACGGGUGGUGGCGCGGCGGGCUCCGAGCGACGGGGUUUUUUUUCAUACCUACAUGAAUGUCAUGUCAUCACAAAAAUUUGCAGCAAGCUAAAACUUUCAUCAAUGUUUAUAAAAAAAUCAGAAUUUGUUUACUAUUAUUUUGGAUUUUAUUGUUCAUCAAGGAGCAUGUGAGCUCGGAUUCAAAUACUCCGCGUGCAAGAAAAGUAUACUUUUCCCCCUCAAAUCCAUAUAGAUGGAUCAAAUACCACCCAAAGUCUAAAACCGGUUAAAUCACCCCCAAACUCUGCAAUACCGGAUCCAUAAGCCUCUCAAGUGGUUUUGGGAAGGAUUACAACCGGUUUGACUAUAGGUUGUUGACUUGUCAUUUCACUUGUGCCCCGUGACGCCAUGUUCUUGAUGACCGAGCAUCUCGCCGGGCAAGUAAUGGCUCUGACCAUCCAUCCAGGGUGAGGUUGUUGGCGCUAGUGCCGCGGGGAUUGUACCCGAGUGCGUGGUCACCAGGGCUCAGGAGGUGCCCAAGGUGCGCCCUCACGGUGAUGAUGGUGUCGCUCCUGCCCAGCUCCGACGAGCGCAUCGAGCUGCCUCGCCGCGUCCGCCAUGCACGACAGCAGGAGGACGGCGACGAUGGCCAUGAGGGCGGCUCAGGACCACGACGCAAAACAGAAGUCGACAUCGCCGGCGAGGCAGCAUUUAAUUUUUAAAAACUUGAACAGUUUUUUCAAAACAUAAACAACUUUUGAAAUUGAGAACAUUUUUUGAAACAUGAAAAGAAAUUAAAGCGUGAACUUUCUUUAAAAAAUAUGAAAAAAUAAUUAAAUUGAGCACAUUUUUUGAAAAAAUUGAACACUUUCUGGAAUUAAAAAAACAAACAGUCUUUGAAUUCCAAAAAAAUGAUUUUUUAGAACAUGAACAUUACAAAAACAAACAGUCUUUGAAAUUCCAAAAAAAAUGAUUUUUUAAGAACGUGAACAAAAUUUUGAAGCUUUUGAAAAAAACAAACAUCUUUUAAAAUUUUGAUUUUUUUUAAACAUACAUGAUAUUUUUUGCAAGUUUUAUAAAAAGAAAAGAAAAAACAGUAACAACGAAAAAGAGAAAACUUGGGAAAAACCAUCAAGAAAACAACAGGAAACCAUCAAGAAUUGGGAUCUCUUGCCCGUACCCUAGCUAUUGAGCCGGCCCAUAUGGCUGUCACUGUGCAAAGCAGCGACAUUUUGCCCGGGAGCUCCCAAGGGUGUGUUUGAUAGCAUGUAUGGAACUAGCCUAGUUGUUCUCAUGUCAUACAUGCUGAGUGUAGACAUGCUGAGUCCAUGCAGUUGCUGUUGUUUGGCAGUGAUGUAUGCGUUGAGACAUGCUGAGCUGAGAUUUUGUUUGGUAGCCUGCAUGUGUUUAGACAUGCUGAACAAUUUCAAAUUCUGAAUAUAUUUUUUGAAUGAUGAACAAAAUCGAAAAAAUCUCAACACAAAUUUAAACAUAUUUUGAAAAUUUAAAUAAAAUUUGAUAUUCUAAACUUUUUUGGAAAAUUAAAAUAAAUUUUGAAAUUCUUUUUUUAAUUUGAACAUAUUUGAAAUUACGAGUUUUUUUGAAAAUUUAAAUAAAAUUUGAAAAUUUUAUAAAAAAAAUAAAAUUCUAUUUUUUCAAAAUUCAAACAAAUUUUGAUUUCCUUUUGAAAUUCUGAACAUUUACAAUUUUUUUAGAAAAAAAUGAAAUUUCAAAUAUUUAAUGAAAAUUCAAACAAAUUUUGAAAUUAUGAUUUUUUUGAAAAUUUAAACAAUUUUGAAAUUCAAACUUUUCAUUUUUUCUGAAAUUCUAAGGUUUUUCGAAAAUUUAAACAAAUUUUGAAAUUCUGAUUCUUUUUGAAAAAAUAAACAUAUCUGGACGUGGUCUGGCCGGUGGGGACGAGUGUUAGGCCGGCAUAGCUGCCUCGAUGCACCCUGUCUGGAGUGCAUGAGAUGAGCAUGGCUGAGGGCACUUUUAUGCAUCAGAUGAGCAUAGCUCAGAUGAGCCCAUGCACCCUACCAAACAAGCAAAAGUGGGUCAGAUUAGGAACUUUUGCCCUCAUGCACCCUCCAUGCACCCUACCAAACACACCCUAAGUGACGGCUUAAGCGCCACUUGGAUGAACGGGUGCCCACGCGCCCCUGCUCAUGCGCUGGCCCAGGUAAGGUGAGUGUUGGAUCGAUUCACCCGUUCCCACCCCUGGUCACUCUAGCACUAUUUGACCAGUCGCGGUUGACCAGUUGUCUGAUCAACCUUUAACUUUUUAAAAAUAGGGAAAAAGUAAACAAUGCGGAAAAACACAAAUAAAAUUGAAAAAAAAUGUGAAUUCAAAAAUGUUCACAGACUUUGAAAAAUUUCAUGAAUUUGUAAAAAUAGUUCGUCAAAUUUGAAAGAAAAUUCAUCGAAUUUGCAAAAAGGUCAUCACCAUCUUCACCAACUGAGUCUUUUGUAGGAGUAGAGAUGCGGCUGAGGACACUUGGCGCCAUGCCUUGACUGAAUGUCGGAUGGCCUAGUGUUCAUGGGCGUUGGGAGAUGAAGAAACAUGGAACAUAUGAUCUCUAAUUGUUCGGGCGAUGCCCGGCUAUGUUUGUUCUGUUUGUUUGAACCCAUGAACCAGCAGGAGCUUGCGUGAGUGGUUAUUACCCUAUGGGCCAUCUGGCGGGCUCGAAAGCAGGCAAUUCAGAUGACAAAUUUCAAAGUCCUCUUUCUACAAUGGGUUUCAUCAAUAGUGUAACACCCUCGAUGCGACUAUAUCUCUCACGUGUCGAGGCACGACUUAGAGGCAUAAUCGCAUUGAAGGCAUAUGCCGCAAGUGAGGUAAUCUUCACACAACCCAUGUAAUAUAAUAAGGGAAAGAGAUACAUAGUUGGCUUACAAUCACCACUUCACACAAUUACAUGAAUAAAGCAUUACAUCAACCAAAUACACUCAUGGUCCGACUACGGAACCAAAAUAAAAGAAGAACCCCAAAUGCGACAAAGGUCCCCGAUCGACCCCAACUGGGCUCCACUACUGAUCAACUAGAACGAAACAACACAAAUAAACAAGGUCUUCAACGAGCUCCUCCAGAGCUGGGUUGCGUCAUCUGCACGGACUCAUCGUCACCUCCAAACUGGUUUUGGAAGUAUUUGUGAGCCACGAGGACUCAGCAAUCUCGCACCCUCGCGAUCAAGACUAUUUAAGCUUAUGGGUAAGGUAAAGGUAUGAGGUGGAGCUGCAGCAAGCGACUAGCAUAUAUGGUGGCUAACAUACGCAAAUGAGAGCGAGAAGAGAAGGCAAAGCAUGGUCGAUAAAAGUAUGAUCAAGAAGUGAUCCUGUACUACCUACGUCAAGCAUAACUCCAACAACCGUGUUCACUUCCCGGACUCCACCGGAAAGAGACCAUCACGGUUACACACGCGGUUGAUUCAUUUUAAUUAAGGUCAAUUUCAAGUUUUCUACAACCGGACGUUAACAAAUUCCCAUCUGCCCAUAACCGCGGGCACGGCUUUCGAAAGUUCAAAACCCUGCAGGGUGUCCCAACUUAGCCCAUGACAAGCUCUCACGGUCAACGAAGGAAUAUACCUCCACCCGAGACAUUCCGAUCAGACUCGGUAUCCUAGUACAACAAGACAUUUCGACAGGGUAAAACUAAACCAGCAACACCGCCCGAUGCGCCGACAUCCUGAUAGGAGCUGCACAUAUCUCGUUCUCAGGGCAACACCGGAUAAGCAGUCCGUACAACUAAAACCAGCCCUCAAGUUUCCCCGAGGUGGCGCUGCAAGGGGCUCUAGUUUGGACCAAUGCUUAGACAAGCACUGGCCCGGGGGGGUUAAAUAAAGAUGACCCUCGAGAUGCGCGACUCCCAAGGGAAAAGGCUAGGUGGCAAAUGGUAAAACCAAUGUUGGGCAUUGCUGGAGAAGCUUUACUUAAGGCGAACUGUCAAGGGGUUCCCAUUAUAGCCCAACCGCAUAAGGGACGCAAAAUCCGGGAACAUAACACCGAUAUGACGGAAACUAGGGCGGCAAGAGUGGAACGAAACACCAGGCAUAAGGCCGAGCCUUCCACCCUUUACCAAGUAUAUAGAUGCAUUAAUUAAAUAAGAUAUAUGGUGAUAUCCCAACAAGUAAAUAAAUGUUCCAACUGUUGGGGAACGUAGUAAUUUCAAAAAAUUUCCUACGCACACGCAAGAUCAUGGUGAUGCAUAGCAACGAGGGGGAGAGUCUGAUCUACGUACCCUUGUAGAUCGCAACGGAAGCGUUGACACAACGUAGAGGAAGUAGUCGUACGUCUUCUUCCCGAUCCGACCGAUCCAAGCACCGUUACUCCGGCACCUCCGAGUUCUUAGCACACGUUCAGCUCGAUGACGAUCCUCGGGCUCCGAUCCAGCAAAGCGUCGAGGAAGAGUUCCGUCAGCACGACGGCGUGGUGAUGGUCUUGAUGUACUACCGACGCAGGGCUUCGCCUAAGCACUACAACGGUAUGAUCGAGGUGGAAUUUGGUGGCAGGGGCACCGCACACGGCUAAGGAAUGAUCUCAAUGAUCAACUUGUGUGUCUAGAGGUGCCCCCUGCCCCCGUAUAUAAAGGUUGCCAGGGGGAGGGCUGGCCGGCCAAAGGAGGAGGGCGCAGGAGGAGUCCUACUCCUACCGGGAGUAGGACCCCCCCCAAUCCUAUUCCUAAUAGGAUUCCUCGAGAGAGGGAGAGAGGGAGAAGGAGGCCGGCCACCUCUCCUAGUCCUAAUAGGACUAGGGGAGGGGGGAGGCGCGCAGCCCACCUUGGGCUGCCCCUUUCACCUUUCCACUAAGGCCCAAUAAGGCCCAUUUGGUUCCCAGGGGGUUCCGGUAACCUCCCGGUACUCCGGUAAAAUCCCGAUUUCACCCGGAACACUUCCGAUGUCCAAACAUAGGCUUCCAAUAUAUCAAUCUUUAUGUAUCAACCAUUUCGAGACUCCUCGUCAUGUCCGUGAUCACAUCCGGGACUCCGAACAACCUUCGGUACAUCAAAAUGCAUAAACUCAUAAUAACUGUCAUCGUAACGUUAAGCGUGCGGACCCUACGGUUCGAGAACAAUGUAGACAUGACCGAGACACGUCUCCGGUCAAUAACCAAUAGCGGGACCUGGAUGCCCAUAUUGGCUCCUACAUAUUCUACGAAGAUCUUUAUCGGUCAGACCGCAUAACAACAUACGUUGUUCCCUGUGUCAUCGGUAUGUUACUUGCCCGAGAUUCGAUCGUCGGUAUCCAAUACCUAGUUCAAUCUCGUUACCGGCAAGUCUCUUUAGUCGUUCUGUAAUACAUCAUCCGCAACUAACUCAUUAGUUGCAAUGCUUGCAAGGCUUGUGUAAUGUGUAUUACCGAGAGGGCCCAGAGAUACCUCUCCGACAAUCGGAGUGACAAAUUCUAAUCUCGAAAUACGCCAACCCAACAUCUACCAUUGGAGACACCUGUAGUACUCCUUUAUAAUCACCCAGUUAUGUUGUGACGUUUGGUAGCACCCAAAGUGUUCCUCCGGCAAACGGGAGUUGCAUAAUCUCAUAGUCAUAGGAACAUGUAUAAGUCAUGAAGAAAGCAAUAGCAACAUACUAAACGAUCGGGUGCUAAGCUAAUGAAAUGGGUCAUGUCAAUCAGGUCAUUCAACUAAUGAUGUGACCUCGUUAAUCAAAUAACAACACAUUGUUCAUGGUUAGGAAACUUAACCAUCUUUGAUUAACGAGCUAGUCAAGUAGAGGCAUACUAGUGACACUCUGUUUGUCUAUGUAUUCACACAUGUAUUAUGUUUCCGGUUAAUACAAUUCUAGCAUGAAUAAUAAAAUUUAUCAUGAUAUAAGGAAAUAAAUAAUAACUUUAUUAUUGCCUCUAGGGCAUAUUUCCUUCAGUCUCCCACUUGCACUAGAGUCAAUAAUCUAGAUUACACAGUAAUGAUUCUAACACCCAUGGAGCCUUGGUGCUGAUCAUGUUUUGCUCGUGGAAGAGGCUUAGUCAACGGGUCUGCAACAUUCAGAUCCGUAUGUAUCUUGCAAAUCUCUAUGUCUCCCACCUGGACUAGAUCCCGGAUGGAAUUGAAGCGUCUCUUGAUGUGUUUGGUCCUUUUGUGAAAUCUGGAUUCUUUUGCCAAAGCAAUUGCACCAGUAUUGUCACAAAAGAUUUUCAUUGGACCCGAUGCACUAGGUAUGACACCUAGAUCGGAUAUAAACUCCUUCAUCCAGACUCCUUCGUUCGCUGCUUCCGAAGCAGCUAUGUACUCCGCUUCACAUGUAGAUCCCGCUACGACGCUUUGUUUAGAACUGCACCAACUGACAGCUCCACCGUUUAAAGUAAACACGUAUCCGGUUUGCGAUUUAGAAUCGUCCGGAUCAGUGUCAAAGCUUGCAUCAACGUAACCUCUUACGGUGAGCUCUUUGUCACCUCCAUAUAUGAGAAACAUAUCCUUAGUCCUUUUCAGGUAUUUUAGGAUGUUCUUGACCGCUGUCCAGUGAUCCACUCCUGGAUUACUUGUUGGAAAUAUGCCCUAGAGGCAAUAAUAAAUUGAUUAUUAUUAUAUUUCCUUGUUCAUGAUAAUCGUUUAUUAUCCAUGCUAUAAUUGUAUUGAUAGGAAACUCAGAUACAUGUGUGGAUACAUAGACAACACCAUGUCCCUAGUAAGCCUCUAGUUGACUAGCUCGUUGAUCAAUAGAUGGUUACGGUUUCCUGACCAUGGACAUUGGAUGUCAUUGAUAACGGGAUCACAUCAUUAGGAGAAUGAUGUGAUGGACAAGACCCAAUCCUAAGCAUAGCACUAGAUCGUGUAGUUCGUAUGCUGAAGCUUUUCUAAUGUCAAGUAUCAUUUCCUUAGACCAUGAGAUUGUGCAACUCCCGGAUAUCGUAGGAGUGCUUUGGGUGUGCCAAAUGUCACAACGUAACUGGGUGGCUAUAAAGGUACAUUACAGGUAUCUCCGAAAGUGUCUGUUGGGUUGGCACGAAUCGAGACUGGGAUUUGUCACUCCGUGUAAACGGAGAGGUAUCUCUGGGCCCACUCGGUAGGACAUCAUCAUAAUGUGCACAGUGUGAUCAAGGAGUUGAUCACGGGAUGAUGUGUUACGGAACGAGUAAAGAGACUUGCCGGUAACGAGAUUGAACAAGGUAUCGGGAUACCGACGAUCGAAUCUCGGGCAAGUAUCGUACCGAUAGACAAAGGGAAUUGUAUACAGGAUUGAUUAAGUCCUUGACAUCGUGGUUCAUCCGAUGAGAUCAUCGUGGAACAUGUGGGAGCCAACAUGGGUAUCCAGAUCCCACUGUUGGUUAUUGACCGGAGAACGUCUCGGUCAUGUCUGCAUGUCUCCCGAACCCGUAGGGUCUACACACUUAAGGUUCGAUGACGCUAGGGUUAUAAAGGAAGUUAGUAUGUGGUUACCGAAUGUUGUUCGGAGUCCCGGAUGAGAUCCCGGACGUCACAAGGAGUUCCGGAAUGGUCCGGAGGUAAAGAUUUAUAUAUGGGAAGUCCUGUUUUUGACACCGGAAGAGUUUCGGGGUUUAUCGGUAACAUACCAGGACCACCGGGAGGGUCCCGGGGGUCCACCUGCCCCGGAGGUUUGCAUGGGCCAAGAUUGGUGAGGGACCAGCCCCUUAGUGGGCUGGUGCGCCUCCCAUAAGGGCCCAUGGCGCCUAAGAGGUGGAAAAGGGGCAAACCCUAGAGGAUAUGGGCCUUAGGGCCCAUAUUGGUGCGCCUCCCUCUCCUCUCUCCCUCUUGGCCGCCACCUUUGAUCCCCAUCUAGGGCUGCCGCCCCCCUAGGGGUGGGAACCCUAGAGGGGGCGCAGCCCCUCCCCUUCCCUAUAUAUAUGAGGCCUAGGGCUGCCCAAAAAGACACGCGAUUCAAUCUCUCUUGGUGCAACCCUGCGUCUCUUCUUCCUCCUCUUCUGUGGUGCUUGGCGAAGCCCUGCAGGAUAGCCACGCUCCUCCACCACCACCACGCCAUUGUGCUGCUGUUGGAUGAAGUCUUCCUCAACCUCUCCCUCUCUCCUUGCUGGAUCAAGGCAUGGGAGACGUCACCGGGCUGUACGUGUGUUGAACGCGGAGGUGUCGUCCGUUCGGCACUUGGUCAUCGGUGAUUUGAAUCACGAUGAGUACGACUCCAUCAAACCCAUUCACUUGAACGCUUCCGCUUAGCGAUCUACAAGGGUAUGUAGAUGCACUCUCCUCCCCCUGGUUGCUAGUCUCUCCAUAGAUAGAUCUUGGUGACACGUAGGAAAAUUUUGAAUUUCUGCUACGUUCCCCAACAGUGGCAUCAUGAGCUAGGUCUAUGCGUAGAUUCUAUGCACGAGUAGAACACAAAGUAGUUGUGGGCGUUGAUUUUGUUCAAUAUGCUUGCCGUUACUAGUCUUAUCUUGAUUCGGCGGCAUUGUGGGAUGAAGCGGCCCGGACCGACCUUACACGUACUCUUACGUGAGACUGGUUCCACCGACUGACAUGCACUAGUUGCAUAAGGUGGCUAGCGGGUGUCUGUCUCUCCCACUUUAGUCGGAUCGGAUUUGAUGAAAAGGGUCCUUAUGAAGGGUAAAUAGCAAUUGGCAUAUCACGUUGUGGUCUUUGCGUAGGUAAGAACCGUUCUUGCUAGAAACCCAUAGCAGCCACGUAAAACAUGCAAACAACAAUUAGAGGACGUCUAACUUGUUUUUGCAGGGUAUGCUAUGUGAUGUGGUAUGGCCCAAAGGAUGUGAUGAAUGAUAUAUGUGAUGUAUGAGAUUGAUCAUGUUCUUGUAAUAGGAAUCACGACUUGCAUGUCGAUGAGUAUGACAACCGGCAGGAGCCAUAGGAGUUGUCUUAAUUUAUUUAUGACCUGCGUGUCAACAUAAACGUCAUGUAAUUACUUUAGUUUAUUGCUAACCGUUAGCUGUAGUAGUAGAAGUAAUAGAUGACGUGAGAACUUCAAGAAUACACGAUGAUGGAGAUCAUGAUGAUGGAGAUCAUGGUGUCAUGCCGGUAACAAGAUGAUCAUGGAGCCCCGAAGAUGGAGAUCAAAAGGAGCAAUAUGAUAUUGGCCAUAUCAUGUCACUAUUUGAUUGCAUGUGAUGUUUAUCAUGUUUAUACAUCUUAUUUUCUUAGAACGACGGUAGUAAAUAAGAUGAUCCCUUACAAAAAUUUCAAGAAGUGUUCUCCCCUAACUGUGCACCGUUGCUACAGUUCGUCGUUUCGAAGCACCACGUGAUGAUCGGGUGUGAUAGAUCCUUAUGUUCACAUACAACGGGUGUAAGACAGAUUUACACAUGCAAAACACUUAGGGUUAACUUGACGAGCCUAGCAUGUGUAUAGACAUGGCCUCGGAACACAGAAGACCGAAAGGUCGAGCAUGAGUCGUAUGGUAGAUACGAUCAACAUGAAGAUGUUCACCGACGUUGACUAGUCCGUCUCACGUGAUGAUCGGACACGGCCUAGUUGACUCGGAUCAUGUAAUCACUUAGAUGACUAGAGGGAUGUCUAUCUAAGUGGGAGUUCAUAAGAUGAACUUAAUUAUCCUCGACAUAGUCAAAAGGAUUUUGCAAAUUAUGUCGUAGCUCACGCUAUAGUUCUACUAUUUAGAUAUGUUCCUAGAGAAAAAUUAGUUGAAAGUUGAUAGUAGCAAUUAUGCGGACUAGGUCCAUAAACUGAGGAUUGUCCUCAUUGCUUCAUAGAAGGCUUAUGUCCUUAAUGCACCGCUCAGUGUGCUGAACCUCGAAUGUUGUCUAUGGAUGUUGCGAACAUCUGACAUACACAUUUUGAUAACUACGUGAUAGUUCAGUUAAACGGUUUAGAGUUGAGGCACCAAAGACGGUUUUUGAAACGUCGCGAAACAUAUGAGAUGUUUCGAGGGCUGAAAUUGGGAUUUCAGGCUCGUGCCCACGUCAAGAGGUAUAAGACCUCCGACGAUUUUCUUAGCCUACAAACUAAGGGAGAAAAGCUCAAUUGUUGAGCUUGUGCUCAGAUUGUCUGAGUACAACAAUCAUUUGAAUCAAGUGGGAGUUGAUCUUCCAAGAUGAGAUAGUGAUGUUUCUCCAAAGUCAUUACCACCAAGCUGCUAGAGCUUCAUGAUGAACUAUGAUAUAUCAGGGACAUAUAUGAUUAUCCUUGAGAUAUUCGCGAUGUUUGACACCGCAAAAGUAGAUAUCAAGAAGGAGCAUCAAUUGUUGAUGGUUAGUGAAACCACUAGUUUCAAGAAGGGCAAGGGCAAGAAGGGAUACUUCAUGAAACGGCAAAUCAGCUGCUGCUCUGGUGAAGAAACCCAAGGUUGAACCCAAACCCGAGACUAAGUGCUUCUGUAAUAAGGGGAACAUCCACUGGAACAGAAUUACCCUAGAUACUUGGUAGAUUAGAAGGCUGGCAAGGUCGAUAGAAGUAUAUUGGAUAUACAUUAUGCUAAUGUGUACUUUGCUAGUACUCCUAGUAGCACCAGGGUAUUAGAUACCGGUUCGGUUGCUAAGUGUUAGUAACUCGAAAUAAAAGCUACGGAAUAAACGGAGACUAGCUAAAGGUGAGCUGACGAUAUGUGUUGGAAGUGUUUCCAAUGUUGAUAUAAUCAAGCAUCGCACGCUCCCUCUACCAUCAAUAUUGGUGUUAAACCUGAAUAAUUGUUAUUUGGUGUUUGCGUUGAGCAUAGACAUGAUUGGAUUAUGUCUAUCGCAAUACGGUUAUUCAUUUAAGGAGAAUAAUGGUUACUCUGUUUAUUUGAAUAAUACCUUCAAUGGUCUUACACCUAAAAUGAAUGGUUUAUUGAAUCUCGAUCGUAGUGAUACACAUGUUCAUGCCAAAAGAUAGUAAUGAUAGUACCACCUACUUGUGGCACUGCCACGUAAGUCAUAUCGGUAUAAAACGCAUGAGGAAGCUCCAUGUUGAUGGAUCUUUGGGCUCACUCAUUUUUGAAAAGUUUGAGACACGCGAACCAUGUCUAUUGGUGUAUAUGCAUGAAGAAACUCCAUGCAAAUGGACCGUUUGGACUCACUUGAUUUUGAAUCAGUUGAGACGUGCAAAUCAUACCACAUGGGCAAGAUGACUGAAAGCCUCGUUUUCAGUAAAAUGGAACUAGAAAGCAACCUGUUGGAAGUAAUACAUUUUGAUGUGUGCAGUCCAAUGAGUGCUGAGGCAUGUAGUGGAUAUCGUUAUGUUUUAACUUCACAGAUGAUUUGAGUAAAUGUUGAGUAUAUUUACUUGAUGAAUCACGAGUCUGAAUUAUUGAAAGGUUCAAGUAAUUUCAAGGUGAAGUUGAAAGAUCAUCGUGACAAGAGGAUAAAAUAUCUAUGAUAUGAUCAUAGAGAUGAAUAUCUGAAUUACGAGUUUGGCACAGAAUUAAGACAUUGUGGAAAUUGUUUCACAACUAAUACAGCCUGGAACACCAUAGUGUGAUGGUGUGUCCGAACAUCAUAACUGCACCCUAUUGGAUAUGAUGCAUACCAUGAUGUCUCCUAUCGAAUUACCACGAUAGUUUAUGGGUUAGGCAUUAGAGACAACCACAUUCACUUUAAAUAGGGCACCACGUAAUUCCGAUGAGAUGACACCGUACGAACUAUGGUUUAGAGAAACCUAAGCUGUCAUUUCUUAAAAGUUUGGGGCUGUGAUGCUUAUGUGAAAAGUUUCAGGCUGAUAAGCUGGAACCCAAAGCGGAUAAAUGCAUCUUCAUAGGACACCCAAAACAGUUGGGUAUACCUCCCGUCUCAGAUCCGAAAGCAAUAAGGGAUUGUUUCUGGAAUCGGGUCCUUUCUCGAGGAAAAGUUUCUCUCGAAGGAAUUGAGUGGGAGGAUGGUGGAGACUUGAUGAGGUUAUUGAACCAUCUCUUCAACUAGUGUGUGGCAGGGCACAGGAAAUUGUUCCUGUGGCACCUACACCAAUUGAAGUGGAAGCUUAUGAUAUUGAUCACGAGACUUCGGAUCAAGUCACUACCAAACCUCGUAGGAUGACAAGGUUGCGUACUACUUUAGAGUGGUACGUAAUCCUGUCUUGGAAGUCAUGUUGCUAGACAACAAUGAACCUACGAGCUAUGGAGAAGCGAUGGUGGGCCCGGAUUCCGAUAAAUGGCUCGAGGCCAUAUAAUCCGAGAGAGGAUCCAUAUAUGAAAACAAAGUGUAGACUUUGGAAGAACUACUUGAUGGUCGUAAGGCUGUUGAGUAUAGAUGGAUUUUAAAGGAAGACGGACAAUGAUGGUAGAUGUCACCAUUAAGAAAGCUUGACUUGUCAUUAGAAGUUUCCCGACAAGUUCAAGGAGUUGACUACGAUGAGACUUUCUCACUCGUAGCGAUGCUAAGAGUCUGUUGGAAUUAUAUUAGCGAUUACUGCAUUAUUUAUGAAAUCUUGCAGAUAGGAUGUCAAAACAUUGUUUCCUCGACGAUUUUCUUGAGGAAAAGUUGUAUGUGAUACAACCGGAAGUUUUUGUCAAUCCUCAAAUAUGCUAAUAAGUAUGCAAAGCUCCAGCAAUCCUUCUAAGGACUGGAGUAAGCAUCUCGGAGUUGGAAUGUAUGCUUUGAUGAGAUGAUCAAAGAUUUUGGUUUAUACAAAGUUUAUGAGAAACUUGUAUUUCCAAAGAAGUGAGUGGGAGCACUAUAGAAUUUCUGAUGAGUAUAUGUUGUUGACAUAUUGUUGAUCAGAAAUGACGUAGAAUUUCUGGAAAGCAUAUAGGGUUAUUUGGAAAGUGUUUUUCAAUGGAAAAGCCUGGAUUAAGCUACUUGAACAUUGAAGCAUCAAGAUCUAUAAGGAUAGAUCAAAACGCUUAAUGGAACUUUCAAAUGAGCACAUACCUUGACGUGAUCUUGAAGGUGUUCAAGAUGGAUCAGUCAAAGAAGGAGUUCUUGCCUGAGUUGUAAGGUAUGAAGUUAAGACUUAAAGCUCGACCACGGCAGAAUAGAGAGAAAGGAACGAAGGUCGUCCCCUAUGCUUAAGACAUGGGCUCUACAGUAUGCUAUGCUGUGUACCGCACCUGAAGUGUGCCUUGCCAUGAGUCAGUCAAGGGGUACAAGAGUGAUCCAAGAAUGGAUCACAGGACAGCGGUCAAAGUUAUCCUUAGUAACUAGUGGACUAAGGAUUUUUCUCGAUUAUGGAGGUGGUAAAAGAGUUCAUCGUAAAGGGUUACGUCGAUGCAAGCUUAACACCUAUCCGGAUAGCUCUGAGUAGAGAUACCGGAUACGUAUAAUGGAGCAACAAUUUAGAAUAGCUCCAAGUAGAACAGUUAUUUGGAAUAGCUCCAAAUAGAACGUGGUAGCUACAUCUAGGAGAUGACAUAGAGAUUUGUAAAGCACACACGGAUCUGAAAGGUUUAGACCCGUUGACUAAAACCUCUCUCACAAGCAACAUGAUCAAACACAGAACUCAUUGAGUGCUAAUCACAUAGUGAUGUGAACUAGACUCUUGGAUGUUGGUUACAUAGCGAUGUGACCUGUGAGUGUUAAUCACAUGGCGAUGUGAACUAGAUUAUUGACUCUAGUGCAAGUGGGAGACUGUUGGAAAUAUGCCCUAGAGGCAAUAAUAAAUUGAUUAUUAUUAUAUUUCCUUGUUCAUGAUAAUCGUUUAUUAUCCAUGCUAUAAUUGUAUUGAUAGGAAACUCAGAUACAUGUGUGGAUACAUAGACAACACCAUGUCCCUAGUAAGCCUCUAGUUGACUAGCUCGUUGAUCAAUAGAUGGUUACGGUUUCCUGACCAUGGACAUUGGAUGUCAUUGAUAACGGGAUCACAUCAUUAGGAGAAUGAUGUGAUGGACAAGACCCAAUCCUAAGCAUAGCACUAGAUCGUGUAGUUCGUAUGCUGAAGCUUUUCUAAUGUCAAGUAUCAUUUCCUUAGACCAUGAGAUUGUGCAACUCUCGGAUACCGUAGGAGUGCUUUGGGUGUGCCAAAUGUCACAACGUAACUGGGUGGCUAUAAAGGUACAUUACAGGUAUCUCCGAAAGUGUCUGUUGGGUUGGCACGAAUCGAGACUGGGAUUUGUCACUCCGUGUAAACGGAGAGGUAUCUCUGGGCCCACUCGGUAGGACAUCAUCAUAAUGUGCACAGUAUGAUCAAGGAGUUGAUCACAGGAUGAUGUGUUACGGAACGAGUAAAGAGACUUGCCGGUAACGAGAUUGAACAAGGUAUCGGGAUACCAACGAUCGAAUCUCAGGCAAGUAUCGUACCGAUAGACAAAGGGAAUUGUAUACGGGAUUGAUUAAGUCCUUGACAUCGUGGUUCAUCCGAUGAGAUCAUCGUGGAACAUGUGGGAGCCAACAUGGGUAUCCAGAUCCCGCUGUUGGUUAUUGACCGGAGAACGUCUCGGUCAUGUCUGCAUGUCUCCCGAACCCGUAGGGUCUACACACUUAAGGUUCGAUGACGCUAGGGUUAUAAAGGAAGUUAGUAUGUGGUUACCGAAUGUUGUUCGGAGUCCUGGAUGAGAUCCCGGACGUCACGAGGAGUUCCGGAAUGGUCCGGAGGUAAAGAUUUAUAUAUGGGAAGUCCUGUUUUGGACACCGGAAGAGUUUCGGGGUUUAUCGAUAACAUACCGGGACCACCGGGAGGGUCCCGGGGGUCCACCAAGUGGGGCCACCUGCCCCGGAGGUUUGCAUGGGCCAAGAUUGGUGAGGGACCAGCCCCUUAGUGGGCUGGUGCGCCUCCCAUAAGGGCCCAUGGCGCCUAAGAGGUGGAAAAGGGGCAAACCCUAGAGGAUAUGGGCCUUAGGGCCCAUAUUGGUGCGCCUCCCUCUCCUAUCCCCCUCUUGGCCGCCACCUUUGAUCCCCAUCUAGGGCUGCCGCCCCCUAGGGGUGGGAACCCUAGAGGGGGCGCAGCCCCUCCCCUUCCCUAUAUAUAUGAGGCCUAGGGCUGCCCAAAAAGACACGCGAUUCAAUCUCUCUUGGUGCAACCCUGCGUCUCUUCUUCCUCCUCUUCUGUGGUGCUUGGCGAAGCCCUGCAGGAUAGCCACGCUCCUCCACCACCACCACGCCGUUGUGCUGCUGUUGGAUGAAGUAUUCCUCAACCUCUCCCUCUCUCCUUGCUGGAUCAAGGCAUGGGAGACGUCACCGGGCUGUACGUGUGUUGAACGCGGAGGUGCCGUCCGUUCGGCACUUGGUCAUCGGUGAUUUGAAUCACGACGAGUAUGACUCCAUCAACCCCGUUCACUUGAACGCUUCCGCUUAGCGAUCUACAAGGGUAUGUAGAUGCACUCUCCUCCCCCUCGUUGCUAGUCUCUCCAUAGAUAGAUCUUGGUGACAAGUAGGAAAAUUUUGAAUUUCUGCUACGUUCCCCUACAUUACUUUGGUACCUCCCUGCUAAACUUAUAGCAAGGCACACAUCAGGUCUGGUACAUAGCAUUGCAUACAUGAUAGAGCAUAUGGCUGAAGCAUAGGGAACAUCUUUCAUUUUCUCUCUAUCUUCUGCAGUGGUCGGGCAUUGAGUCUGACUCAACUUCACACCUUGUAACACAGGCAAGAACCCUUUCUUUGCUUGAUCCAUUUUGAACUUCUUCAAAAUCUCGUCAAGGUAUGUGCUUUGUGAAAGUCCAAUUAAGCGUCUUGAUCUAUCAAUAUAGAUCUUUAUGUCUAAUAUGUAAGCAGCUUCCCCGAGGUCUUUCAUCGAAAAACUUUUAUUCAAGUAUCCCUUUAUGCUAUCCAGAAAUUCUAUAUCAUUUCCAAUCAGCAAUAUGUCAUCCACAUAUAAUAUCAGAAAUGCUACAGAGCUCCCACUCACUUUCUUGUAAAUACAGGCUUCUCCAAACGUCUGUAUAAAACCAAAUGCUUUGAUCACACUAUCAAAGCGUUUAUUCCAACUCCGAGAGGCUUGCACCAGUCCAUAAAUGGAUCACUGGAGCUUGCACACUUUGUUAGCUCCUUUUGGAUCGACAAAACCUUCUGGUUGCAUCAUAUACAACUCUUCUUCCAGAAAUCCAUUCAGGAAUGCAGUUUUGACAUCCAUCUGCCAAAUUUCACAAUUAUAAAAUGCGGCAAUUGCUAACAUGAUUCUGACAGACUUAAGCAUCGCUACGGGUGAGAAGGUCUCAUCGUAGUCAACCCCUUGAACUUGUCGAAAACCUUUUGCGACAAGUCAAGCUUUAUAGACAGUAAUAUUACCAUCAACGUCAGUCUUUUUCUUGAAGAUCCAUUUAUUCUCAAUUGCUUGCCGAUCAUUGGGCAAGUCAACCAAAGUCCAUACUUUGUUCUCAUACAUGGAUCCCAUCUCAGAUUUCAUGGCUUCAAGCCACUUUGCGGAAUCUGGGCUCACCAUCGCUUCUUCAUAGUUCAUAGGUUCAUCAUGAUCUAGUAGCAUGACUUCCAGAAUUGGAUUACCGUACCACUCUGGUGCGGAUCUCACUCUGGUUGAUCUACGUGGUUCAGUAGUAUCUUGUCCUGAAGUUUCAUGAUCAUCAUCAUUAGCUUCCUCACUAAUUGGUAUAGGUGUCCCAGAAACAGUUUUCUGUUAUGUACUAUUUUCCAAUAAGGGAGUAGGUACAGUUACCUCGUCAAGUUCUACUUUCCUCCCACUCACUUCUUUUGAGAGAAACUCCUUUUCUAGAGAUGAUCCAUUCUUAGCAACGAAUGUCUUGCCUUCGGAUCUGUGAUAGAAGGUGUACCCAACAGUCUCCUUUGGGUAUCCUAUGAAGACACAUUUCUCCGCUUUGGGUUCGAGCUUAUCAGGUUGAAGCUUUUUCACAUAAGCAUCGCAGCCCCAAACUUUAAGAAACGACAACUUUGGUUUCUUGCCAAACCAUAGUUCAUAAGGCGUCGUCUCGACGGAUUUUGAUGGUGCCCUAUUUAACGUGAAAGCGGCCGUCUCUAAAGCAUAACCCCAAAAUGAUAGCGGUAAAUCAGUAAGAGACAUCAUAGAUCGCACCAUAUCUAGUAAAGUACGAUUACGACGUUCGGACACACCAUUACGCUGUGGUGUUCCGGGUGGCGUGAGUUGCGAAACUAUUCCACAAUUUUUCAAAUGUACACCAAACUCGUAACUCAAAUAUUCUCCUCCACGAUCAGAUCGUAGAAACUUUAUUUUCUUGUUACGAUGAUUUUCAACUUCACUCUGAAAUUCUUUGAACUUUUCAAAGGUUUCAGACUUGUGUUUCAUUAAGUAGAUAUACCCAUAUCUGCUUAAAUCAUCUGUGAAGGUGAGAAAAUAACGAUAUCCGCCACGAGCCUCAAUAUUCAUCGGACCACAUACAUCGGUAUGUAUUAUUUCCAACAGAUCUGUUGCUCUCUCCAUAGUACCGGAGAACGGUGUUUUAGUCAUAUUGCCUAUGAGGCACGGUUCGCAAGUACCAAGUGAUUCAUAAUCAAGUGGUUCCAAAAGCCCAUCAGUAUGGAGUUUCUUCAUGCGCUUUACACCGAUAUGACCUAAACGGCAGUGCCACAAAUAAGUUGCACUAUCAUUAUCAACUCUGCAUCUUUUGGUUUCAACAUUAUGAAUAUGUGUAUCACUACUAUCGAGAUUCAUCAAAAAUAGACCACUCUUCAAAGGUGCAUGACCAUAAAAGAUAUUACUCAUAUAAAUAGAACAACCAUUAUUCUCUGACUUAAAUGAAUAACCGUCUCGCAUUAAACAAGAUCCAUAUAUAAUGUUCAUGCUCAACGCUGGCACCAAAUAACAAUUAUUUAGGUCUAAUAUUAAUCCCGAAGGUAGAUGUAGAGGUAGCGUGCCAACCGCGACCACAUCGACUUUGGAACCGUUUCCCACGCGCAUCGUCACCUCGUCCUUUGCUAGUGUCCGCUUAUUCUGUAAUCCCUGUUUCGAGUUGCAAAUAUUAGCAAUAGAACCAGUAUCAAAUACCCAGGUGCUACUGCGAGCUCUAGUAAGGUACACAUCAAUAACAUGUAUAUCACAUAUACCUUUGUUCACCUUGCCAUCCUUCUUAUCCGCCAAAUACUUGGGGCAGUUCCGCUUUCAGUGACCAGUCUGCUUGCAGUAGAAGCACUCAGUUUCAGGCUUAGGUCCAGACUUGGGUUUCUUCUCCUGAGCAGCAACUUGCUUGCUGUUCUUCUUGAAGUUCCCCUUCUUCUUCCCAUUGCCCUUUUUCUUGAAACUAGUGGUCUUGUUGACCAUCAACACUUGAUGCUCCUUCUUGAUUUCUACCUCCGCAGCUUUCAGCAUUGCGAAGAGCUCGGGAAUAGUCUUGUUCAUCCCUCGCAUAUUAUAGUUCAUCACGAAGCUCUUGUAGCUUGGUGGCAGUGAUUGGAGAAUUCUGUCAAUGACGCAAUCAUCUGGAAGAUUAACUCCCAUCUGAAUCAAGUGAUUAUUAUACCCAGACAUUUUGAGUAUAUGCUCACUGACAGAACUGUUCUCCUCCAUCUUGCAGCUAUAGAACUUAUUGGAGACUUCAUAUCUCUCAAUUCGGGCAUUUGCUUGAAAUAUUAACUUCAACUCCUGGAACAUAUCUUAUGCUCCAUGACGUUCAAAACGUCGUUGAAGUCCCGAUUCUAAGCCGUAAAGCAUGGCACACUGAACUAUCGAGUAGUCAUCAGCUUUGCUCUGCCAGAUGUUCAUAACAUCUGGUGUUGCUCCAGCAGCAGGCCUGGCACCCAGCGGUGCUUCCAGGACGUAAUUCUUCUGUGCAGCAAUGAGGAUAAUCCUCAGGUUACGGACCCAGUCCGUGUAAUUGCUACCAUCAUCUUUCAACUUUGCUUUCUCAAGGAACGCAUUAAAAUUCAACGGAACAACAACACGAGCCAUCUAUCUACAAUCAACAUAAACAAGCAAGAUACUAUCAGGUACUAAGUUCAUGAUAAGUAUAAGUUCAGUUAAUCAAAUUACUUAAGAACUCCCACUUAGAUAGACAUCCCUCUAAUCCUCUAAGUGAUCACGUGAUCCAAAUCAACUAAACCAUAACCGAUCAUCACGUGAGAUGGAGUAGUUUUCAAUGGUGAACAUCGUUAUGUUGAUCAUAUCUACUAUAUGAUUCACGCUCGACCUUUUGGUCUCUGUGUUCCGAGGCCAUAUCUGCAUAUGCUAGGCUCGUCAAGUUUAACCUGAGUAUUCUGCGUGUGCAAAACUGGCUUGCACCCGUUGUAGAUGGACGUAGAGCUUAUCACACCCGAUCAUCACGUGGUGUCUGGGCACGACGAACUUUGGCAACGGUGCAUACUCAGGGAGAACACUUCUUGAUAAUUUAGUGAGAGAUCAUCUUAUAAUGCUACCGUCAAUCAAAGCAAGAUAAGAUGCAUAAAUAGGGAAAAAGUAAACAAUGUGGAAAAACACAAAUAAAAUUGAAAAAAAAUGUGAAUUCAAAAAUGUUCACAGACUUUGAAAAAUUUCACGAAUUUGUAAAAAUAGUUCGUCAAAUUUGAAAGAAAAUUCAUCGAAUUUGCAAAAAGGUCAUCACCAUCUUCACCAACUGAGUCUUUUGUAGGAGUAGAGAUGCGGCUGAGGACACUUGGCGCCAUGCCUUGACUGAAUGUCGGAUGGCCUAGUGUUCAUGGGUGUUGGGAGAUGAAGAAACAUGGAACAUAUGAUCUCUAAUCGUUCGGGCGAUGCCCGGCUAUGUUUGUUCUGUUUGUUUGAACCCAUGAACCAACAUGAACUUGCGUGAGUGGUUAUUACCCUAUGGGCCAUCUGGUGGGCUCGAAAGCAGGCAAUUCAGAUGACAAAUUUCAAAGUCCUCUUUCUACAAUGGGUUUCAUCAAUAGUGUAACACCCUCGAUGCGACUAUAUCUCCCAAGUGUCGAGGCACGACUUAGAGGCAUAAUCGCAUUGAAGGCAUAUGCCGCAAGUGAGGUAAUCUUCACACAACCCAUGUAAUAUAAUAAGGGAAAGAGAUACAUAGUUGGCUUACAAUCACCACUUCACACAAUUACAUGAAUAAAGCAUUACAUCAACCAAAUACACUCAUGGUCCGACUACGGAACCAAAAUAAAAGAAGAACCCCAAAUGCGACAAAGGUCCCCGAUCGACCCCAACUGGGCUCCACUACUGAUCAACUAGAACGAAACAACACAAAUAAACAAGGUCUUCAACGAGCUCCUCCUGAGCUGGGUUGCGUCAUCUGCACGGACUCAUCGUCACCUCCAAACUGGUUUUGGAAGUAUCUGUGAGCCACGAGGACUCAGCAAUCUCGCACCCUCGCGAUCAAGACUAUUUAAGCUUAUGGGUAAGGUAAAGGUAUGAGGUGGAGCUGCAGCAAGCGACUAGCAUAU